GGAGAGAGCGAAAACCUAGAGGGAAAAAGAAUAAUCUAGAAGCAUAUCAAUCAAAAAGACCAAAAUAACAUGACAAACAAAACCAAAAAGAAAAAAAAAAAAAAAAAAAAAAAAAAAAAAAAAAAAAAAAAAAAAAAAAAAAAAAAAAAAAAAAAAAAAAAAAAAAAAAAAAAAAAAAAAAAAAAAAAAAAAAAAAAAAAAAAAAAAAAACCUUGCAGAGGGCUCAAUUGAAUGACAAAUUUCCAUUUUAACUCACUUUUAGUAGUACAGAGUAUAUGUCCAAGUCAAUUGCGCAUGAUGAAAAGACACAAUAUUUUGUUGAUAAAUUAAUUUUGUACAUAAACAAAUAAAUUUAAUAGUAUUUGAAGAAAAUUAUACUUUUAAAACUCAACAAAUAAUNCAUAACUAGAAGAACAUAAAUAAUAAUAAUAAACAUUUAAUUUAUAUUUUAAAACUUUUAAAUAUGAUAUAUUUACAUGUGAUAGGUAAUUUUUACUAAAAAGAAAAUUGAAACUACUACUAUUUACCUAAUUUUGUUAAAAUAUUUAUUAAUUGCAUUCACCUCUAUGGUUUUUUAUUAUGUUUGUUGAAUUAAAUCUUUAUUGUUUAAAAUAAUUUGUCAUACAAAGUGUAAUAAUUAAUGAUAUUCUUAAUUACUAUGAUUAUUGUAGUAUAAUUUGAUAUGUAAACAAAGAAAUACCACAUAAAAUAACAAAAUAUAUUUGUUAUAAAUCAAUUAAGAUAUGACUUAAUUAUACUAAAAAUUGUAUUUAUUUGUAAAAAUCAGUAAAAUCAAGUAUAAAAUAAUUAAGAUAGACAAUUUAUCUUAUUUGCGAAAUGAAUGAAACAAAUAAAAAUAUAUUUACUUUAUUUUUCAGUUUAACUUUUAACCUGUUUUACCAAUUUCUUUGUUUUUUUUUUAAAUUUAUUCUUUUUCUAUUUCUCUUAAGAUAUUUUAUGACUUUAUUUUAUGGUCAAUAUUUUUGUAAUCUUACUUUAAAUAUACCCAUUUGCUUCCACUAAGUGCAUGCUUGGUCAUUCCCUCCGAUUCUCAUCUCUUUUAAGUAUUUUUUAAUUCUAUUUACUUUCAUUAUAUGAACCAAAUUACUUAAUAAAUAUUUUUGUUUUAUUUUAUUUUCAAGAAAUAACUAUUCAAUUUUCUCUCUAUUUCAUUCCGAGAACCAAACAUACAUCAGAAUUUAAAAAUAAAUCCUGGAUCUAUCCCUAACCUGGUAUAGGAAAUUUUGAAUGGGGAGAACUAGGAACAAGGAACGAGGAAAGGCCCAGAUUCAUUCUGAAGUUUGUGAAAUUGUUCUCCCAAGCUUUUCCCAGCCUUAAAAGUGAACGUAAAGAAUUAAUUUCUUCAGGUGUGAAAUAUGUCAAUAUAUAUAUAUAUAUUGACAAAGACAAAGAUUGAAGCAUAUGUCAAAUGUUAAUCAUUCUGUCGUCAGCAAGAUUGAAGCAUUGAAGCAAUCUUCCGAGGCGUGGAAGGCAACUUAUAAGACAGAAAGGUUGCUUGAACUAUUUUCCAAGCCAACUAUGAAAUUGCAGUUACUAUAAAUCCCAAGCUCAAGGGUAAGAAGAACAAAUUCCUGUGAGCUACAACCGGCAAACCAGUUCUUUCGCAAAUCACAGAAUCCCAGCAUUAAUGGACAAGGGUAAGAAGAAAUUGGCUGUUCUGGUUGGAUGCAAUUACCCCAACACCAAGCACGAGUUGCAUGGUUGCAUAAAUGAUGUGGUAGCCAUGAGAGAGGUGCUUGUUGAAAGAUUUGGGUUCGAUCCUAGCCAUGUUAAGCUCCUGACUGAUGCACCAGGGUCCUUGGUUAUGCCUACAGGUGCAAACAUGAAGGCUGCACUUAAUGAGAUGGUGAACAAGGCUGAGGCAGGCGAUGUCUUGUUUUUCCACUAUAGUGGACAUGGAACGAGAAUUCCAUCCUUGAAACCUGUCAAUCAUUUCAGGCAGGAUGAAGCAAUCGUGCCUUGUGAUUUCAAUCUCAUUACGGGUAAUUAAACCUUUUCCUUUGUGUUGGCUAUUUAUAUAGAGAAGAAAUCAAAUUAUCAUCUAUUUAUAAAACUUAAGAACUACAACACUGAUAUAACUUGAUAAAAACCGUCCUGCAGAUGUGGACUUCAGGCAAUUAGUUAACAGACUACCAAAGGGAGCAACCUUCACAAUCCUUUCAGAUUCCUGCCACAGCGGUGGUCUCAUUGAUAAAGAGAAAGAACAAAUUGGACCCUCUACUAUAAAGAACACAACAUCAGUUUCCUACAGGGUUAAAACAAUUCCUUUCCAAUCCGUACUUCAGCACCUAUCAUCACUAACAAGCAUCAACACAUCAGAUAUCAGCACUCAUUUGUUAGAAUUCUUUGGGGCUGACGCCAGUCUCAAGUUUCGUUUACCCCAGCUUGAAUCAGAUUUGUUGGAGUCAUUGAAGACGGACGAGGGGAUUCUGCUGAGUGGGUGCCAAGCAGAUGAAACAUCAGCUGACAUGAACGCAAUCGAGGGUGGAGGGAAGGCAUAUGGGGCGUUUAGCAAUGCAGUGCAUAUGGUACUGAAUGAGAACCCGGGUGCAUUAAGCAAUAGGAAAGUUGUGCUGAUGGCCAGGAAGGUUUUAGAGGCACAGGGAUUUGACCAGCACCCUUGCCUUUAUUGCAGUGAUGGGAAUUCUGAUGCUACUUUCUUGUUGCAGCCCGAAGCCAAAUGAGCCAGCCCAAUUGAUAUUGGUGUAUUCUGUUUGCUUUGUGAUUCAUUUUGGGGUAAUAUGAAAAAAUAAAAUGUUCUGCCAGUCUGUCAGAUUCAGAAACUCACCAACCUUUCCCCUUUAAGAGGAAUUCUCAAUCAAUCCUAUGUGAAUUUGUUAAACAUUUCUUCUGAAGUAUUGAGAAGAUUAAUCAAUUUUAUCUAUAAUUAAUGAUGACAUUUGAAUAUUUGAUUUGAUUCAAUUUGAAGUAUAUAUUCAACCAUUACACUAUUGUCAAAGUACUCAAAUAGUCUCUGCACUUAGAUAUUUUCUUCAAUUUAGUCCAUUUACUUAAAAUCGUAACAAUUUAAUCUCUUAAUUUUAAAAAUUACUUCAAUUUAGUUCUUACAAUAUUUUCUUUUCAAAUUUACCCUUUUAUGGUGUUGACAUCAACGCUAAUGUAGCACCAAAUGCUGAAGUGGCAUGUGAGGUGGGAUCGGGUUACUACCACGUCACUCACUUCUUCUCUAUAAAAUAAUUUUAAAUUUUUUUUACACUCUUGCUAAAAUUCAAACUAUGGACCUUUAACAAACACACCAAAAUCUUUAUCACCACACCCAAACAGUUGCUUUUGUUUCUUUUUGUUCUUUUCUUUACUGUUUUUCUUUCUUAUUUUUUUCCUUUCUCUCUUUAUCCUCCCACCUUCACCCUUAAAAUUGGCAAUCGUCACCUACUGACAAUUGGUCGCCAUUCAUCGGUCAUCAGUCGUUGAUCAUCAGCCAUCAGUAUCAAUGAUCGACGAUUGGUCUUUAAGGGAGAAAGUGGGAGAAAAGAGAGAAAGGGAAAAAAAAGAAAAAAGAGCAAAAAGGAGGAAAGAAAAAAAAGUAAGAAAUAAUUAAAAGUAAGGGUUUAGGUUUGUUGGUAAAUACUUGGUUGGGCUUGGUAGAUGUUUUUGGUUCAAAUUUCAACAAGCACAUAAAAAAUCUCAAAUAUUUUUAGAGAAAAAGAGAGUAAUGUGGCAACCUUCCUAAAAUGUCACGUGGCAUCAAUGCCACAUCAGUAUGUCCAUCAAUCUUCCCUACCACAUCAUCAAUGUUUGCCAUGUCAACUGCCACGUCAACAACUUGAUCCCACCUCAAUUGCCCGGUCAACGCCACAUCAAUGUUGACAUCAACACGAUAAAAGGUAAAUAUGAAAAGAAAAUAUUGGAAAGACUAAAUUGAAGCAAUUUCCAAAAUCAAGAGGCUAAAUUAUUGUGAUUUUGAGUAGAAGGACUAAAUUGAAGAAAAUGCCUAAGUGUAAAGACUAUUUGGGUACUUUGAUCAUUAAAAACAAUAGACUGUAAUAAUUCCUUCAAAGGAAUUUCUUUAUACUACCUUUAUAUAUGAUGACAUGGACAAAACACACCAUUUUGGCAUCACACAAGGAAGUGUGAAACCCAUAGGGUACACAUAAAAAAUGAAUCAAACAUUGCUGCAAAAAAAAAAAAACCAAAACAAUAGCACAAGAUAAUAUCAAAAAAGCAGUAGCAAAAAAUCAUACAAAGAUAACACAAAAUAACCAAAAGGACAAUCCUUUCAAAAAUAAACACACACCAACUCAUUACAACCUAAGAGAGCAAGGAAAACAUAGACAACAGAAUUCCAGCAGUAGAAAAUCCAAACAAUCACAAGACAAAAGACAAAACAAAAGCAAUUUAGCAAUCAAGAAAAGACAGAGGUUCCACAACAAGAGAUAAGAAACCAGAAAUCAUCACUUAACUAAAAGUUUGAAAAAGAUAAACUAAACGGUGAACUCCCUCAUUGGCUAAACAAUCAGCAAGCUGAUUAGCUGAUCUUGGAACGUGUACAAUAGACUAUUUUAGAAUUUUAUGUUUCAAGUUGUUGAUGAACUUUAAUGUACUUUCAUCCUCCAUGUAGUAAAGGAAGAGUCAUUACACCAUUUCACUACAUUAAAAGAAUCUAAUUCCAUAAUAAGCUUCUGUGAACGUGCCUAGGGACAAGUAGCAAAAAGAAGAAAAGCUUCUUUGAUAGCUGUGGUCUCUGCUAAGUUCGAAUUAGCAACUCCCAAUGGUUUAGAAAAAAGAAUUAUGACACAGCCAUUGUUGUCUCUUAAUGCCCUUCCAAUCCUAGCCUUUAUUGUAGUGAUGAAAAUGCUGAUGCUACUUUCUUGUUACAGCUCGAGGUUAACUGAGCCCUAUUGAUAUUGGUAUAUUUUGUUCACUGUGUGAUUUAUUUUAGGGUAAUAUGCAAAAAUAAAAUGCUUUGUCAGUCUGUCAUAAUCAGAAACUCACCAAUCUUUCCUCUGUAAAAGGAAUUCUCAAUAAAUCCUAUGUGAAUUUGUGAAACAUUUCUUCUUAAGUAUUGAGAGAUUAAACAAUUUUAUCUAUAAUUAAUGAUGACAUUUGAAUUUUUGAUUCAAUUUUAAGUAUAAAUUCAACCAUUACACUAUUAAAAAUGGUCAAAGUACCUAAAUAGUCUCUAUACAUAGGCAUUUUCUUCAAUUUAGUUCUUCUACUCAAAAUCGUAACAAUUUAGUCUCUUAAUUUUGAGAAUUACUUCAAUUUAGUCCCUACAACAUUUUCUUUCCAAAUUUACCUUUUAUGGUGUUGACAUCAGCGCUGACAUGUACUAGAUGCUGAAAUGGCAUGUGAGGUAAGAUCGGGUUAUUGCCACACUCUCUUCUUCACUCUAAAAGAAUUUUAAAUUUUUUUUAUGCUAUUGUUAAAGUUCAAACUAUGGACCUCUAACAAAUGCACCAAAGUCCUUAUCACCACACUUAAACCAUUGCUUUUGAUUAUUUGUUGCUUUUGUUUCUUUUUUUCUUUUCUUUUCUAUUUUUCUUUCCUAGUUUUUUUCCUUUCUCUCUCUCUCUCUCUCCUCCCACCUUCACCCUUAAAAUCGACAAUCGACGCCUAUUGGUAGUUGGUCGCCAUUGAUCAUUGUUGGUCACCGAUCGUUGACUGUCAAUACCAGUGACUGACGGUUGGUCUUUAAGGGAAAAGGUGAGAGAAGAAAAAGAAAGGAGAAAAAAAAAGAAAAAGAGAGAAAAAAAGAAGAAAAGAAACAAAAGUAAGAAAUAAUUAGAAGCAAAGGUUUAGGCUUGGUGGUCAAGACUUUGUUGUGCUUGGUAAAGGUUUUUGGUUCAAAUUUCAACAAGAACAUAUUCUUAGAAAAUAAGAGAAUGACGUGGCAAUCUUCUUAACAUGUCACGUGGCAUCAAUGCCACAUCAGUAUGUCCAUCAAUCUUCCUUACAACGUCAUCAAUGUUUACCACUUCAGCAUUGACGUGGUAGUGCCAUAUCAGCAUUGAUGUGUUAGUGCCACGUUAACAACUCGAUCCCAUCUCACUUGCCAUGUCAACAUAUGGUGUCACAUCAACACCACGUCAAUGUCAACAUCAACACCAUAAAAGGUAAAUUUGAAAAGAAAAUGUUAGAAGGACUAAAUUAAAGUAAUUUUCAAAAUUAAGGAGCUAAAUUGUUAUGAUUUUGAGUAAAUGGACUAAAUUGAAGAACACACCUAAGUAUGGGGACUAUUUAAGUACUAUGAUCAUUUUGAUGGAAAUUCUUUAUACUUCCUUUAUAUAUGAUGACAUGGACCAAACACACCAUUUUGGCAUCACACAAAGAAGUGUGAAACUCAUAGGAUACACAUAAAAAAUGAAUCAAACAUUGCUGCAACAAAAACCAUAAUAAUAACAACACAAGAUUAAUAUCAAAACAACAGUAGUGAAAAAUCAUGCAAAGAUAACACAAAAUAACCAAAAAGACAAUCCUCUCGAAAAUAAACACAGACCAGCUCAUUGCAACACAAGAGAGCAAUUAAAACAUAGACAAUAGAAUUCCAGCAGCAAAAAAUCCAAACAAUCACAAGACAAAGACAAAACAAAAGCAAUUUAGCAAUCAAGAGAAAAGAGAGGUUUCACAACAAGAGAUAAGAAACUAGAAAUCAAUCAUCACUUAAUUGAAAGUUUGAAAAAGAUCAACUAAAUAGUGAAUUCCCUCAUUGGAUAAACAAUCAUCAAUCUAAUUAGCUGAUCUUGGAUCGUGUACAAUAGACCAUUUUAGAAUUUUAUGUUUCAUGUUGUUGAUGUAGUUUAAUUUACUUUUCAUCCUCCAUGUAGUAAAAGAGGAGUCAUUACACCAUUUCACUACAUUAAAAGAAUCUAAUUCCACAAUAAGCUCAUGUGAAUGUGCCUAGAGACAAGCAGUGAAAAGAAAAAAAGCUUCUUUGAUGGCUAUGGUCUCUAUUAAGUUCAAAUUAGCAACUUCCAAUUGUUUAGAAAAAAGAAUUAUGACACUGCCAUUGUUGUCUCUCAAAGCCCUUGCAAUAUUGGCCAACCCUAGGCAUCCUUUAGUUGCUCUAUCCACAUUAAACUUCAUAAAUAUUAUGUUUGGUUUAACCCAUUCCACUGUUGGCUUGUCUUUUUUCAAAGUCACUCUAACUUUUGCACAAGAGGCUCCCUCACCACAUCCAGAACAGAUGGAUUUUCAAAAGACCAUUUGGCCUUUGCCCACCAUCCAAUUCUAAGUUUAACCACAUCGUACAUUUAUCGGAUAUCCCAUAACAUCCCUUUGAAAACUAGGUCAUUUCUAUGAAGCCAGAUGUUCCAUAGAAUUGCAAAUAAGGCCAUGCGCCAAAUUGGACUACUCCCACCACCAGAAAUAUUAGGAUUCCAAGCAGUGAAUAAAGCUUCUAAAUUACCUGACAAAACCCAAUUAUACCCCUAAUUGUUAAUCUAAAGGUUUCAUACUUGCCAAGAAUCAUAGCAACUGAGGAAGAGAUGAUAUGCCAUCUCUAUCUCUUUAUUACAAUAAGGCAUAAAGUAGCAUUCUCAUUGCUAAUGCCUCUUUUAAAGAGCUCUAUUUUAACCGCCACCUACCCAUGGAGGACUUGUCAGCAAAAGACUUCUACUUUUGAAGGAACAAUAAGCUCACCAAUUAACCUCAUGCUCGUUGCUCAAUAUCCACCUUGCAAACCACCAACAGUACACAUGUGUACCUUGUGGAACGUGCCAACUUGUGAAUAGUCUCCCUCAAGCAACUUUGUUGCAUGCACAAUGAACUUGCAUGCCUUGUCUUUACAAGCAACCUCAAAACGGGGCGUGACAUGACUUUUUAACUUUAAUCUCGAAAUGCUCUUUUAGUUCCAACAUGUUCAAAGCUUAUUUCAAUUUGGCCUUGGAUGGAAACAUUUUUCCUUGAUAUAAGUCGUCAUUGGUUGAUUUGGACUCCAUGGUGGCAAUUGUUUGGAAGGAUAUCAUAUCUAACCCUGAAAUAAUUCAUUGACGAGAUAUCCUUACAUUUACCAUUAUUUGAUCACUGUCAUCGAGAGAACGAAUCCCGUUGUCACCAACAAUGGAGUUGUCAUAAAUAGGGUCAUCACAUUGAACAUCUUCUAAGACAAUAGUUGUGGCAUGGUCAUAGCACUGAACAUCUUCUAACUCAAUAGUUGUGGCAUGUUUUAUACUACCAUCUGCAUAAUUGCAAUUUGGAAUGUCAUUGUUGUCAUCCUUGUCCUCCUUUGAACAAUCAUUAUGCCUGCCAACGUAAUUGUCUUCACAGUCAUUGUCCAUCUCAUCAUUCCAAUUAGUAGUGUCAUCCUCUUCACAGUCAUCAUCCAUCUGACCAGAUGUUUCAUCAUCACUCACGACCAUUAUGGUGUCGUUUGCGAAUGGCAAUGGACCCACUGCAUUCUUAGGUGACGAUUGCAUUUGUUGGCAAGAACAAAGUAUUUUGUUUAAUGCACAUUCUGAUCGAAAUUAUCUGUGUGUGUACCAGGCUACUCAAACUCGUUUGCAUAUGUCAAUGGUGAUUGCCAUUGCUAUCCGUUAGGUAUUGCAUGGUGUGGUAUGUCUGAAGCAGUAUAAUUUUGAUUUAGGUUAUUACUAUGUUAAACACCUUGUUUGUGUGGCAUAACAUCUGCAUUUUGUUCCUUAACUGUCACAAACACUACAACCGCCCCCUCAUCUCAUAGAUUACUUGCUAAAUCUUCAUUGUCCUUAACAACUGCACAUGAAACCUCUACGACAUGACUGAGCAAUGUAUGUAGCUCGAUUUCGUGAUUCUGUGAGUUACCCCAACGACAUCUUCAACCAGCUUCAUUAGGUCCGAAAAUAAUAAAUCACUCCCAACACUCCUCACUCGUGUCUCACCACCCUUAUAAGUGUCAUCAACUCAAUGACCACCGCACAAUUAUAAGCUUCAUAUUUAGCAUGCCGUUGAAAUUUAACAGAAAAUAAAUGUCACAAUCAAUUAAUUUAUCAAAAAAAAAACAUGUGUAAUCAUAAGCUUCAAUCAAUUUGUAACGUAAUGCCUAACAAACCAGUCUGGCAAUGCCUAACAAACUAUUCAUGCAAUACCUAAAAAUUAGUCCCACAAUCACUAUAACCAGUUACUCAAUAUCUAAAAAUUAGUCCCACAAUGCCUAAAAAUCAAUCUCGUAAUUCCUACAACCUAGUCACGUAAUACCUAAAAGCUAGUCUCGCAAUGCCUAAACACUAAUCUUGCAAUGCCUACAAACUAGUCACACAAUGCCUAAAACCCUUCUUUCUCCUAUGCCUAGAAACUAGUGACUCAAUGCUUAAAAACCAAAAACGUAUGGUUAAUAACUAAUUGAUUUACUUACUCGCAACAACCAGGUUUAAGUUGCCAAGGUCAUACAAGUCUCUAAUUUAUAGACAUGUUUAAUCAAUUUCAAUCCAUUGACUUUGAGAUUCCAUUCUAUGAAUAUAACCUGAAUUAUAACCUGAAUGAAGGUUCAUUAAAGGUAGAGAGCAAGGUGUGUUGGAGUUUGAAAAGGACUCUAAAACUGUAACUACACAUAAUGUCCACGGAAUUAUGCAAUAAUGGUGACUGUUUUUUGAGCACAAUAUGUCUGAAUGUAGACCGAAGGAUAAAUGUGCAAGUACAUAGGUAGAGUGGGGGAAUUAAAUGUGCGAAUGGAAAGGAUUUGUUGCACCUGAGUUUUGCAGCUAUUUUGAUUUAAGACAGGUGGGUUCAGACAAGAUAUGUUUGGGUUCAAACAAAGUUGCAUGAUGUAUUUAAGGACAGUCUGAUGUAUAGAUAUUCCCAAAUCUAGGUAUUUAGAUUAUGUGGGGUUUUAGUUAUUUCAUAUUUAUUUUAUGUUUCUUGUAACCAAUAAGUUCAUAAGUUAUUUUUGGCUUUUGGCUCUUGGCAAUCAAAAAGCUUAAUUUUUACAAAAAAAAAAUAUAAGUAGGACCUAAUUAUAACUUAACUUAAAUAAAUAAGAUGUACCACAAAAUUGAAAUUAACUUUUCUAAGGUCUUAAAAUAUAUGUUUAAGAAUAAAGAUAAAUAGUUAUCACAAAAUUAUUGUAAAAUAUAAAAAUAUAACAUUUUUUUUAUAAAAAAAUUUAAUUAAUUUGUAUCCCUAGCUUCAAAGAACUCUUACACAAAAAAAAAUAAAAAAUUUUACACAAUUAAAUAAAAAUAUUGAUGUUAAAAAAUAAUAUUUUUAAAAAUAUUAACAUAAAUGUUUGAAAACAAGGAUAAAAAUUCAUAAGUUUUAAGGUUAAAAAUUCAUAAUUUUUAAGGUAAAAUGGUAAAAAGUAUCAUAAUUAACUUAAAAUAAUUUAUAAUGAUUAUAAACAUUAAAACUAACAUUGUUAAAAAUGUUAGUGUAAAUGUGUGAGAAUAUGGAUAAAAAUACAUAAUAUUUAAUACAAAAAGAAUAAGAAAUGUCUAUUCAAUUUAAGAUAAUUUAUGAUAAUUAUAAACAUUUAAAAUUAAUAUUUUGAAAAAUGUUGAUGUAAACGUGUGAAAAUAAAGAUAAAAACAUGUAACAUCUAACUAUAUAAAAUGAAUAUAAAUUAGCAUCAUCAACUUAAGAUAAAUUAUAAGCAUUAAAAAUAACCUUUUUGUUCUAAAAAAAUAACCUUUUUGAAUAAAGAUAACAAAACGUAAUAGCUACUAUAAAAUGAAAAAAAACUGUUGUAAUCAACUUCAAAUAAGCUAUGAUAAUUAUAAAUGUAACGGAAGAUAAGAAUAAAUAUAACUUGAUAAUAGUUUAUCAUAAAUAACUAAGAUAUCAAUCUAAAUUUCAAACUAGCCUUCAUAAAAUCGUAACUUAAAAGUUGAUAACAUAAACAAAAUAAACUGAACAGUUCUCGUAAAUGAAUAAAACUUAAUCUAAAAUUUAAAUUAAAAGAAUCUAACAUACAUAAGUAAUAUAAAUUGUAAAAAUAUAUAAUAUGUGGCAUAAAGUAGGUAAGGAGUGUCCUAAUUAUAUACAAACUAGAAUGCUUCCUGCGCGUUGAGUUAGGAAAUUGUUAUUUUAUGUGUAUUGUUUGAAAUAUUAUAUGAAAGGUUAUCAUUAUCUUAAAUAGAAGUUUAAUUAUUUGUUUGAUGUUAUUAAAAGAAUAUAGUUUAACAAAUUGUUAACUUUAAUUAUGUAGUUGAUGUUAUCAUAACAGAAAAACUAACUAAAUUAUUAACAUUAAAAUAUACAUUGAUGGUUAGAAAGAGUGUAAUAUUCAAUGUGCAUAAAUGACAUAGGAUGCUAUCAAUAAUGGAAAAAAAAAAAAGAAAAAAAGGUUAAGUAUGCUAUAUUGGAAACAGUGAAUAUUUGAAUAAUAGGUAACUACUUGUGAGCAUUGUAUUGUAUAAGAAAAAAUUAUUUACAUGAAUUUGAAUAGCUUGAAGUCAUAGCUUAGAAAUAUUUUUAGAAAGCCAAAUCCAUUUGCAUCAGCAAAAAACAAAUUGUCAAAACCAAAAUGGCUAAAAAUUUUGUUGAAAUUAGAAAAUAAAAGAAAAACCAAAACCAAAUCACAAAAUCAAAUUAAACAUCACAACAAAGAAGAAAAAAAUAAACAGAAAUAAAGAAUUCACACAACAUUCAAGAAAAAAAAACCUCCAAAACUCAUUACAAGCGAAACUAAAUUUCAAAGACAAAGACAUCAACCUAGACAAUAAUUAAAAAGACAACAGAAUCAGAGAACUAAGAGUCCAAAAAAAGCCCAAAUCAAGCGAAACUCAGAGAGGAAGACAAUGAAAGCAGUAACGGAAAUCAAACAUACAAAAUAUAAGAAUCAAAACAAAAGAACAAACCAAACCAAAUCUAAAACACCAAGUAAACAAUCAAGCCAAAAAAAUAAUAAACCAAACCAAAUACAAAAGUCAAGGACAGCACCAAAUCGCAGAAGAAAAGAAAAAAAAUUAUAAAUCAAAAUACAAAAAAGUAAAGAAAUCAAGAAGAAGAACACCUCAACGAAUCAAAUAACAAAGAAAAUGAACAAAAAAGCACCAAAAGAAAUAAAGAAAACAAAACCAAAUAAAAUAAAAAAAAGAAAAGAGCAGUGAAAAGAGAGGAGAAAACAAUGAAAACAAUAGAGAAAGCAAGAAAUGGGAAAGGGCAGAAAAACCUAGAGGGAAAAGGAAUAAUCUAGAAACAUAGUAAUGAAAAAGAUCAAAAUAAGAUGUAAACAUAUUAAAAUCCCAAAACACCCACAAAAUAAAGGAAAGAUUGAUAGUGAAAAGACAAAAGAAGACUAAAAAAAUCCCACCAUCACCAAAUAAGCCACCAGUUGAAACCCAAAAAAAAAAAAAAAACCAGUAGAGGGCUUCAUUGAAUGACAAACCUCAAUUUUAACUCACUUUUAAUAUAUAGUACAGAUUUUAUGUCCAAGUCAAUUGCGCCUGAUGAAAAGACACAAUAUUUUGUUGAUAAAUUAAUUUUGUACAUAAACAAAUAAAUUUAAUAGUAUUUGAAGAAAAUUCAACUUUUAAAAUUCACACCAAUAUUAAUUUCUUACAUCAUAACUAGAAGAACAUAAAUAAUAAUAAUAAACAUUUAAUUUAUUUUUUAAAACUUUUAAAUGUGAUAUAUUUACAUGUGAUAGGUAACUAAAAAGAAAAUUGAAACUACUACUAUUUACCUAAUUUUGUUAAAAUAUUUAUUAAUUGCAUUCAGCUUUAUGGUUUUUUAUUAUGUUUGUUGAAUUAAAUCUUUAUUACUUAAAAUAAUCUGUCAUCCAAAGUGAAAUAAUUAAUGAUAUUCUUAAUUAAUAUGAUUAUUGUAGCAUAAUUUGAUAUGUAAACAAAGAAAUACUAAGUAAAAUAACAAAAUAUAUUUGUUAUAAAUCAGUUAAGAUAUGACUUAAUUAUACUAAAAAUUACAUUUAUUUGCAAAAAUCAGUAAAAUCAAUAUAAAAUAAUUAAGAUAGACAAUUUAUCUUAUUAGUUAAAUGAACGAAACAAAUAAAAAUAUAUUUACUUUACUUUUCAAUUUAACUUUUAACCUGUUUUACCAUUUUCUUUGUUUUAUUUUUAAAUUUAUUCUUUUUCUAUUUCUCAUAAAAUAUUUUAUGACUUUAUUUCAAGGUCAAUAUUUUUGUAAUCUUACUUUAAAUAUACCAAUUUGCUUCCACUAAGUGCAUGCUUGAUCAUUCCCUCCUAUUCUAAUCUCUUUUUAAUAUUACUUAUUCUAUUUCUUUUCAUUCUAUGAGCCAAAUUACUUAAUAGAUAUUUCUGUCCUAUUUUAUUUUCACAAAAUAAUUAUUCAAUUUUUUCUCUGUUUCAUUCCACAAACCAAAUACGCAUCCCUGACUUGGUAUAGGAAAUUAUGAAUGAAGAGAACUAGGAGCAAGGAACGAGGAAAGGCCCAAAUUCAUUCUGAAAUUUGUAACAUUGUUCUCCCUGGCUUUUCCCAACCUUAAAAGUGAACGUAAAGAAUUAAUUUCUUCAGGUGUGAAAUAUGUCUAUAUAUAUAUAUUAACAAAGGCAAAGAUUGAAGCAUAUGUCAAAUGUUAGCCAUUCUGUCUUCAGCAAGAUUGAAGCAUUGAAGCAAUCUUCCGAUGCUUGGAAGGCAACUAAUACGACAGAAAGGUUGCUUGAACUAUUUUUCGAGCCAACUAUGAAAUUGCAGUUACUAUAAAUCCCAAGCUCAAGGCGAAGAAGAACAAAUUCCUGUGAACUACAACCGGCAAACCAGUUCUUUACAAAUCACAGAAUCCCAGCAUUAAUGGACAAGGGUAAGAAGAGAUUGGCUGUUCUGGUUGGAUGCAACUACGCCAACACCCAGCACGAGUUGCAUGGUUGCAUAAAUGAUGUGGUAGCAAUGAGAGAGGUGCUUGUUGAAAGAUUUGGGUUCGAUCCUAGCCAUAUUGAGCUCCUGACUGAUGCACCGGGGUCCUUGGUUAUGCCUACAGGUGCAAACAUUAAGGCUUCACUUAAUGAGAUGAUGAACAAGGCUGAGGCAGGGGAUGUCCUGUUUUUCCACUAUAGUGGACAUGGAACGAGAAUUCCAUCCUUGAAACCUGGCCAUCAUUUCAGGCAGGAUGAAGCAAUCGUGCCUUGUGAUUUCAAUCUCAUUACGGGUAAUUAAACCUUUGCCUUUGUGUUUUAUGUAGAAAAGAGAUCCGUUUAUCAUCUAUUUAUAAAACUUAAGAACUAUAACACUGAUAUGACUUGAUAAACACCGUCCUGCAGAUGUGGACUUCAGGCAAUUAGUUAACAGACUACCAAGAGGAGCAACCUUCACAAUCCUUUCAGAUUCCUGCCACAGCGGUGGUCUCAUUGACAAAGAGAAAGAACAAAUUGGACCCUCUAUUGUAAAGAACACAACGUCAGUUUCCUACACGGUUAAAACAAUUCCUUUUCAAUCCGUACUUCGGCACCUAUCAUCACUAACAAGCAUCAACACAUCAGAUAUCGGCACUCAUUUGUUAGAAUUCUUUGGGGCUGACGCCAGUCUCAAGUUUCGUUUACCCAAGCUUGAAUCAGAUUUGUUGGAGUCAUUGAAGACGGACGAAGGGAUUCUGUUGAGUGGGUGCCAAGCAGAUGAAACAUCAGCUGACAUGAACGCAAUUGAGGGUGGAGGGAAGGCGUAUGGGGUGUUUAGCAAUGCAGUGCAUAUGGCACUGAAUGAGAACUCGGGUGCAUUAAGCAAUCGGAAAGUUGUGAUGAUGGCCAGGAGGGUUUUAGAGGCACAGGGAUUUGCGCAGCACCCUUGCCUUUAUUGCAGUGAUGGGAAUGCUGAUGCUACUUUCUUGUUGCAGCCCGAGGCCAACUAAGUCCUAUUGAUAUUGGUUAUUCUGUUUGCUGUGUGAUUCAUUUUGGCGUAAUAUGCAAAAAUAAAAUAUUCUGUCAGUCUGUCGGAUUCAGAAACUCACCAACCUUUCCCCUGUAAGAGGAAUUCUCAAUCAAUCUUAUGUGAAUUUGUGAAACAUUUCUUCUUUAAGUAUUGAGAAGAUUAAUCAAUUUUAUCUAUAAUUAAUGAUGGCAUUUGAAUAUUUGAUUCAAUUUUAAGUAUAUAUAUAUUCAACCAUUAUACUAUUAAAAACAGUCAAAGUACCCAAAUAAUUUUUGUAAUUAGGCAUUUUUUUCAAUUUAGUUUCUCUACUCAAAAUCAUAAUAAUUUGGUCCCUUGAUUUUGAAAAUUGUUUCAAUUUAGUCCCUCUAACAUUUUUAUUCCAAAUUUACCCUUUAUGAUGUUGACAUUAAGGCUAACGUUUCUUCAAUUUAAUCCCUCUACUCAAAAUCGUAAUAAUUUAAUCUAUUGAUUUUGAAAAUUACUUCAAUUUAGUUCCUCUAACAUUUUUUUUUCAAAUUUACCCUUUAUGAUUCUAAGGUAGCAUGUGAGGAGGUAUUGAGUUGAUGCCACAUUACUUUCUUCUUUUCUCUAAAAGAAUUUUAAAUUUUUUUUACGCAUUUGCUAAAGUUCGAACUAAUCACCUUUAACAAACACACUAAAGUCUUUACCACCACACCUAAACCGUUUCUUUUGAUUAUUUGUUGCUUUUGUUUCUUUUUUCUUUUCUUUUUGAUUUUUCUUUCUUAUUUGUUUCUUCUCUCUCUUUCCUCCCACCUUCUCCCUUAAAGACCAACGACUGUCACCCAUCGACAGUCUAUCGUUGGUUGUCAAUCGAAGGUAGCCUACAAUCAAUUUUCGUUCAUCAAUCAUCGUUCAUCAAUUGUUGGUCAUCAAUCAUCAACUGUUGAUAUUGGUGACAGGCGACCAAUCUUUAAGGGAAAAGGUGAGAGAAGAGAGAGAAAAGUAAAAAAAAAAGAAAAAAAAAGGAAAAGAAACGAAAGUAAGAAAUAAUUAAAAGCAAGGGUUUAGGCUAGAAAAAAGUGACGUGGUAGCCUUUCUAACAUGUCACGUGGUAUCAAUGCCACAUCAGCAAGUCCAUCAAUCUUCCUUGCCACGUCAUCAAUGUUUUCCAUGUUAGUGCUCACAUGGCAAUACCACGUCAACAACCCAAUCCUACCUCACAUGCCAUGUCAGCAUCUGGUGUCUCAUCAAGACCAUGUCAAAGAUGACAUCAACACCACAAAGGGUAAGUUUGGAAAGAAAUGUUGAAAAGAUUAAAUUGAAACAAUUUUCAAAAUUAAAGAAUUAAAUUGGUUGCAAUUUUGAGUAAAGUGACUAAACUGAAGAAAACACCUAAAUACAUGGACUAUGUGAAUACUUUUAACCAUUAAAAACAACAGAGUGUAAUAAUUCCUUUGAUGGAAUUUCUUUAUACUUCUUUUAUAUAUGAUGACAUGGACAAAACAUGCCAUUUUGCAUCACACAAAGAAGUGUGAAACCCAUAAUAUACACACAAAAAAUGACUCAAACAUUGCUGCAACAUAAAUCAAAACAACAGUAGCACAAGAUAAUAUCAAAACAGCAACAAUGAAGAAUCAUACAAAGGUAACAUAGAACAACCAAUAGGACAAUCUUCUAAAAAAUAAAUGCAAACCAGCUUAUCACAACCCAAAAGAGCAAUGAAAACAUAGACAACAGAAUUCCAAAAAAAAAAAAAAAUCCAAACAAUUACAAGAGAAAAGGCAAGAUAGAAGCAAUUUAGCAAUCAAGAGAAGACAGAGGUUCCAUAAUAGGAUAUAAGAAACCAAAAAUUGUCACUUAGUUGAAAGUUUGAAGAAUAUCAAUUGAACGGUCAACUCCUUCUUGGGCUAAACAAUCAGCAAGCUGAUUAAGUGAUCUUGGAACAUGCAUAACAGACCAUUUUAGAAUUUUAUGUUUCAAGCUGUUGAUGAAGUUUAAUGUACUUCUUAUCCUCCAUGUAGAAAAGGAGGAGUCAUUACACCAUUUCACUACAUUAGAAGAAUCUAAUUCCACAAUAAGCUCAUGUGAAUAUGCCCAAGGACAGGUAGUAAAAAGAAUAAAAGCUUUUAUGAUAGCUGUGAUCACUACUAAGUUCGAAUUAACAACUCUCAACGGUUUAGAAAAUAGAAUAAUGACAUAGCCAUUGUUGUCUCUCAAAGCCUUUCUAAUCUCAGCUAACCCCGGGCAUCCUCUAGCCGCUCUAUCCACAUUAAACUUAAUAAAUAUGAUGUUUGGUUUUUCUAAAAGUGUAAGCAUGAGGAAUGCUAAUUUUGUUGAGCUUCUUGCCAUUAAAAAAGUUUUAUUGAUCUUUGUUGCCUCUGAUUGGGUUUCUUCUUAUGAACCUAUUGUUAGAAAAAAAAUUAUUAGCAACAAAGGAAUAUAAAACAAGUAAAACAGUAAUUGGUCUGAGGCGUGGUAUCACUGUCUUUAAAGAUAAUUUUUACCACUUCGGAGUAUAAAACUCGGUGCAAAAGGACUGUAGCGGUUAUCCUCCAAGACUCAACAAACCCUUCCUUAUAGUUUGCAUAAACUAUUAAGGGAUGACAAGAACAGUAGAAAAGAAAAAACCCAGCUACAAAAGAAAUGAGGCAAGGAAAACUUAAGAGAAGAAAGGAGGUAGAGGAAUUAAUGGAGAAAGCUUAAGAGAAGAAAAGCUUUGGUGUGUGUUGUGAGUGAUGGUGUGAGGCUAUAUUUAUAGGCAUGAAGUGAAGUGAACGUUGCACCACAUAAGGUGAACGUUGCAACAGAUUAGGAAGUUGAGAAAAACCUAGUCUGCAUUUGUACUAAGUCAGAUAAACGUUGGAGUAAAACUAGGAUAAACGUUGGAGCAAAACUAAGAGAACCAAGUAAGCAUGGUAGAGUUUGAGUUUGAUUUAAUCAAGGGAUGAAAAUGCUUAAAAACUUAAAUCUAAGGUACAAAAAGUCACUUGGGCACAGCCCACGUGUGUAUUCGUGCGCAGGGGGGGAAUCUGAAAUUUCUAAAGGUUUGGCCCAAUCUUGUGUGCGUGCGAGCCUACUUCGUUUUGCUUGCUUGCAAUUAGCCCAUAGUUGGUUUUCAUAUAUAAGGCAUUCACCUUUUAUGUAUCUUGGCAAUGUGAGAUGUUUGAACCUUAUGAAAUACACUAUUUUCCAACAAUCCCCCACAUAUUUCAUAAGGUUUUAUAAGAAGUUUUGCUGGUCAAAUUUCAUUUAAGUGUAAUGCAUCAUGACUGGUGCUUUUUAAGCUAUGAACCACCCCUAGAAAGAAUGAAAUAUAAGUCACAGAAUUUUGGUGAAGUUUGUAACUUAUAUGAACCAAAAUUCUUUAUGUGAAAUAUAGUUUUCAUCAAUCACAUUACACCCCCACAAUUUCUUCUGUUCAACACAAUUUUGCGUGAAUAGGCCAUGCACGUGCCUGGUUAUUCAUAAGUGCUCUAGAGAAUUUGCCAUAAUUCUCAUAGGAGCGGCCCCACUCCACACUUAUAUAGGUUGAUUCCAUCAAGUGUAUACUGCAAUAUAAUAUACUACCCUUAAGGGAUAUGGAAUGCAUUAAGAGUUUAACUCAACCUCUCUUGCAUUGCAGUUUUGCACUACUUACACACCAUCAGAGAGACAAUAAUUUCAAUAGUGCAUUAAUUUAUCAACAAAUAACUUGUUAUUACCCAUAUGAACCUAAUUCAUGGGAUUUCCAAUCACAUAGGUUGGGUUACUAUUAUUUGUUGAUUUCCUCAUUUGGCUUAAGUCCCAUGCCUCUCGAUGUAGCAUCAAUUAAUUUUCUUCCCAAGGGUUUAGUUAGAAGAUCGAUCAAAUUCAGCUCUGACUUCACAUAAUUAAUGGAUAUAAUUCCAUCUUUAAGCAACUACUUUACUACAUCAUGUCUCAAAUGAAUGUGUCUAUUUUUACCAUUGAAAGUUUUAUUCUUUGCAAUGGCUAUUGCCGCUUGGCAAUCAUAAUGUAUGGACACAUAAGGUGUUGGUUUCAUUCCUAAUGGAAUAUAUACUAAGAGGUUUCUCAACCACUCAGCCUCAUUGCCAGCCAACUCUAAAGCUACAAAUUCUGACUCCAUUAUAGAUUUAGCAAUUAUUGUUUGUUUGGCUGAUUUUCAAGUUAUAACACCCCCACCAAGGGUGAAUACAUAACUACUCGUAGAUUUCGUCUCAUUUGAAUCUGAGAUCCAGUUAGCAUCACUGUAUCCUUCUAAUACAACAGGAAAUCCAUUAUAUAAAAUACCAUAGUUUUAUGGUACCUUUCAAAUAUUUCAUCACCCUACUCAAGGCAAUCCAAUGAUCUCUAUUAGGACUUUGUGUAUAUCUACUCUGUCUACAUACAACAUAAGCUAUAUCUGGUCUAGUAUAAUUCAUCAAAUGCAUUGGACUCCCAAUAAUCUGUGCGUACUCAGACUGAGCUACAAUAUCACUUUUAUUUUUCUUUAAUUGGAUAUUACUAUCAUAAGGAGUACUCAUAGGUGUGACAUCAAAAUGUCCAAACCUUUUAAGUAGCCUCUCAACAUAAUGCUCUUGUGUUAGCAUUAAGCCACUAUCACAUCUUAUGAUUUUAAUACCCAAAAUAACUUUGGCUUCUUCCAGAUCUUUCACGUCAAAGUUAGAAGCUAAAAAACAUUUUGUUUUAUUGACCACAUCAAUGCAUGUACCAAAAAUAAGUAUAUCAUCAACAUAUAAGCUAAUAAUCACACAUUCACUAUCAACAGUUUUUGUGUACACACAUUUAUGAACUCCAACAGUAGAAAAUCCAUUACUAACAAGAAAUUGAUCAAAUUUCUCAAGCCAUUGUUUUGGUGCUUGUUUCAAGCCAUAUAAUAAUUUAAUCAAUUUACAAACUUUGUUUUCUUGACCAGGAAGAAUACAUCCCUCGAGUUGUGCCAUACAAAUUUCUUCUUCUAAAUCACCAUUUAAAAAAGUGGUUUUUACAUCCAUUUGAUGAACAACAAGUUUGUAAAUUGAAGCUAAGGCAAAUAAAACACGAAUUGAUGCAAUUCUUGUUACUGGAGCAAAAGUAUCAAAAUAGUCAAUAUUUGGUUUUUGAGUAAAACCCUUUGCAACUAAUCUAGCUUUAUAUUUAUCAAUAGAACCAUCAGGAUUAAAUUUCCUUUUAAAAAUCCAUUUGCAACCAAUUGGUUUGGCUCCAGGUGGUAAAUCAACUAAUUCCCAAGUUUGAUUUUGUAAAAUCGAAUCAAUCUCAUUUUGUAUGACUUCUUUCCAAAAUAAACUUUCUUUAAAAGAAAUUGUAUCAGCAUAAGUUAAAGGAUCAUUAUCUACAAGAUAAGUAUAAAAAUCAUUACCAAAAGAAAUUUUCUUCCUUGGUCUUUUACUCCUUAAAUCAUCAUUUUUAUAUUUCAAAAUCAUUUUUACUAAAGGGUGCAUGAGAAAUUGUAUCAGUUCUUAAUGAAAAAAUAAGCUCAAAAAAUUCAACAUUCUUUGUUUCAACAAUUGUAUUACAAUAAAGAAUAUCACUUUUUAAUACAAGAAAUCUAUAUGCAGCACUAUACUCAGCAUAACCAAUAAACAUUCAAUCAGAUGUCUUAGAAUCAAUUUUUCUCUUCUUAAAUUCAAGAAGCAUUACCUUAGCUAGACACCCCCAUACUUUCAAAUAUUUUAAAUUAGGAGAAUAAACUUUCCAUAAUUCACAAGAUGUCUUACCAGUAUUCUUAUAAGGUAUUCUAUUUUGAAUAUGACAUGCAGAUAAUAAAGCUUCACCCCACAAAUUUUCAUGUGCAUUGGAACUAACAAGCAUAGAGUUCAUCAUUUCUUUUAAUGUUCUAUUUUUUCUUUCAGCUACACCAUUUGAUUCAGGAGAAUAUGGAGGAGUAAUUUCAUGAAUUAUUCCUUCUUUUUCACAAAUAUCAUUAAUCGGUAUAUAUUCACCCCCUCUAUCUGAUCUAACUUUUUUUUUAUCUUUUUAUUCAGUUGAUUUUCUACCUCAGCUUUAUAUUUAAUAAACAUGUCAAAAGCUUCAUCUUUAUGCCUAAGCAAAUAAACUUUAGUAAAUCUAGAAUAAUCAUCAAUAAAUGUAACGUAGUAUUGCUUACCACCUCUAGUCACAGUUUGUUUUAGAUCUCCUAAGUCUAUAUGAAUUAAACAUAAUAAUUCAGAUUCCCUAUUUACUGAAAUACAAGUUUUCUUAGUUGAUUUCGUUUCAGCACAUAUUUUGCAUUUAUUAAAGCAUCCAUUUUUAAUACUAGAAGUUAAACCUAGUGAUUGCAUUUUCUUAAUAUAAGGAAUGCUAACAUGUCCUAGUCUACCAUGCCAUAAAUAAACAAAGUCAAUCAUGUAAGCGGAAAAAUUGCCAUUUUCAUUCAAAACAUUAGAAAUGUUAAGUACAAAGAGUCCCUGAUUGCAAUAACCCUUACCCACAAACACAUUAUUUUUUAUCAUCCCGAUCUUGUCAAAUUCGAAUGACACUUUCACCCUAACCUUGCCUAAUAAAGCCACAGAUACCAGGUUUGCCCUUAUAUUGGGAACAUGAAGAACAUCAUUUAAAGCUAGGGUUUCGCCAGAUGUGAGCUUGAGAAGGACUUUACCUUUACCAAGAACUUGAACAGUUCGAGAAUCACCAAGGUAUAUUGUCUCUUUUCCUUCCCCUACUGGAGUAUAGGAGGUAAAGGCAUUUCUGUUUGCACAAAUAUGCAUGGUAGCACCUGAGUCUACCACCCAUUCCUUCACACUGGCCACCAUAUUUGCUGUUAAAAUGACCGCAGCGAUUACAUUGUCAAAUUCAUCUACUUUGACCAAGUUGACUCUUGGAUUAGCAAGUUUGUCAUUUCCCUUUGCUCUUUUCCUACAUUUGUGCUGCAUGAUGCCCUGGCUUUCCAUAGACAAAACAACUACCCUUCUUUUUGAAGGUGGGAUGAAGAGCCUUGGGUUUAUGAUCAGGUUUGUAAGGGUACUUUUGUUGACGCUGGGUUCUGUCUUGCACCAGAUUGGCUUUAGUUGCAAUUUCUUUAGCUUUGGAGGCCUUAAUCUCCCUGCAAAUUGUGUCUUCAAUGAUGAUGUGCACAAUCAAAUCUACAAGUGACAACUACUUUUCCUUGUGCUUCACUUGUUGCUUGUAUCCAUUCUAGGAUUCUAGCAGCUUCUCAAUCAGUAACCCACCAACGAAUUCUUUUUGCAAGUUGAUUUUUUUCAGCCUUCAAAUUAUCCACCAGCUUAUGGUAUUCAUUAAUCUGACUCUUAAUGUCCUUGUCAUCUGUCAUCUUUCAGCGAUAAAAGUUGCCAAUCAUAAACUUUUGUUUCCCAACAUCUUCAGUAGUGUAAUUGGCUAUCAUUGACUCUCAUAUUUGCUUUGCUUAUUUGUAAGGGCUGUAUACAUCAAACAACUCAUUAGAAAGUGUGAUAAUGAUUGUAUGCCUGCAUACUUUAUAUGCAUGCAUCCACGGUUCUAGCAUCUUGACAUCAUCUUGCUUGGAAUCAAUUAGUGCAAUAGCCACCCCAUGAACAUCAAGGAUUGAAAAAAUCUUUUCUUGCCACCUUUUGAAGUUUCUACCAUCAAAGACUUCUAUUUUGGAAAUAUCUGGAAAUGGUUUGGCAUAUGAAACCGAGGGCAUAGGAACAAUGGUCAUCGGAGUAGGAGCUAUGGGGGAACCGUUGACAGUGGUGGUGGCAGUAGGGACAAAGGCAACAUUAGGAAUAGUGGCAGCAGCAUUAUCAACGUGGGACUCCAUUAUCCUUAAGAAUGUUAGAAAAAAAUUAUUAGCAACAAAGGAAUAUAAAACAAGUAAAAUAGUAAUUGGUUUGAGGCAUGGUAUCACUAUCCUUAAGGAUAAUUUUUGGCCCUUCGGAGUAUAAAAUUUAGUGCAAAAGGACUAUAGCGGUUAUCCUCCAAGAUUCAACAAACAUUUCCUUAUAGUUUGCACAAACUAUUAAGGGAUGACAGGAACAGCAGAAAGGAAAAAACCCAGCUAGAAAAGAAAAGAGGCAGGGAAAGCUUAAAAAAAGAAAGGAGGUAGAGGAAAUUAGUGGAGAAAGCUUAAGAGAAGAAAAACUUUGGUGUGUGUUGUGAGUGAGGGUGUGAGGAUGUAUUUAUAAGCAUGGAGUAAAGUGAACGUUGCACCAAAUAAGGUAAAUGUUGUCGCAGAUUAGGGAGCUGAGAAAAACCAGGUCUGCAUUUAUACUAAGUCAGAUAAACGUUGGAGCAAAACCAAGAAAAAUGUUGGAGCAAAACUAGGAGAACUACGUAAGCAUGGUAGAGUUUGAGUUUGAUUUAAUCAAAGGCUGGAAAAGCUUAAAAAAUUAAAGCCAAGGUACAAAAAGUCACUUGAGCACGGCCCACGUGUGUAUUCUCGUGCAGGGGGGAAUUUGAAAUUUCUAAAGGUUUGGCCCAAUCUUGUGUGUGCGCGAGUCCACUCCGUUUGCCUUGCUUGCAACAAGCCCAUAGUUGGUUUUCAUAUAUAAGGCAUUCACCUUUUAUGUAUCUUGGCAAUGUGGGAUGUUUAAACCUUAUGAAAUACACUAUUUUCCAACAAUGCCCCACAUAUUUCAUAAGGUUUUAUAAGAAGUUUCGUUGGGUCAAAUUUCAUUUGAGUGUAAUGCAUCUUGACUGGUGCUUUUUAAGCUAUAAACCACCCCUAGAAAGAAUGAAAUAUAAGUCACAGAAUUUUGGUGAAGUUUGUAACUUAUAUGAACCAAAAUUCUUUAUGUGAAAUAUAAUUUUCACAAUCACAUUACACUCCCACAAUUUCUGCUAUUCAAUGUGGUUUUGAGCGAAUAGGCCAUGCGUGUGCCUGGUUAUUCAUAAGUGCUAUAGAGAAUUUGCCAUAAUUCUCAUAGGAACGGCUCCACUCCACACUUAUAUAGGUUAAUUCCAUCAAGUGUAUAUUGCAGUAUAAUAUACUAUCCAUAAGGGAUAUGGAAUGCAUUAAGAGUUUAACUCAACCUCUCUUGCAUUGCAGUUUUGCACUAUUUACAAACCAUAGGAGGGACAAUAAUUUCAAUAGUGCAUUAAUUUAUCAACAAAUAACUUGUUAUUACCUAUAUAAACCUAAUUCAUGGGAUUUCCAAUCGUAUAGGUUGGGUUACUAUUAUUUGUUGAUUUCCUCAUUUGGCUUAAGUCCCAUUCCCCUCGAUGUAGCAUUAAUUAAUUUUCUUCCUAGGGGUUUAGUUAGAGGAUUGGCCAAAUUCAGCUCUGAGUUCACAUAAUUAAUGGAUAUAAUUCCAUCUCUAAGCAACUGUUUUACUACAUCAUAUCUCAAACAAAUGUGUUUAUUUUUACCAUUAAAAGUUUUAUUCUUUGCAAUGGCUAUUGCCGUUUGGCAAUUACAAUGCAUGGACACAGAAGGUGUUCGUUUCAUUCCCAAUGGAAUAUCUGCUAAGAGGUUUCUAGAAUGGAUGGAUUUUGUUUGUGCUAAUCAUGAUGUUUGCUCUGGUUUCAAAGCAUUGCACAGGUGUUUUGGGUUUUUGCCUUUUUUUUGGAUGAUUGUCUUUGUUGAUUUCGUUGAUCCUGUUGUUUGUUCUGGUUAAAGCUGAGUUGGUCUCAUUUUUAUUGUUUUGAUGCUCCUUUGUAUUUUUGCUCUAGCUAAAGUUGAACCUGGGUUGUUUUUCCUUAUAUUUUGUUCUGCAUAUGAGUUAUUGCUUUUCUAAGAACUGCCACUAUAGAUUCCAGGUUGUACCUGAUGGGGAAUGUUCUUAUCCCCAUUUUACUUUUAUUAAUGAAGUUUUACCUUUAAAAAAAAAUGAUGUUUGGUUUAACCCAUUCCACUGUUGGCUCGGCUUUUUUCGAAGUCACUCUAACUUUUGCAUAAGGGGCUCCCUCACCACAUCUAGAACAGAUGGAUUUUCAUAUGACCAUUUGGCCUUUGCCCACCAUCCAUUUCUAAGUUUACCACAUCCUACAUUUGUCAGAUAUCCCAUAACAUCCCUUUGAAAACCAGGCCAUUUCUAUAAAAGCUGAUGUUUCAUAUAUUUGCGAAAAAGGCCAUGGGCCAAAUUGGACUACUCCCACCACAAGAAAUAAUAGCAUUCCAAGUAGUAAAUAAAGCUUUUACAUUACUUGGCAGAACCCAAUUAUACCCCCAAUUUUUAAUCCAAAGGUUCCAUACUUGUCAAGAAUAAUUGCAACCGAGGAAGAGAUGAUCCGCUGUCAGUUAAAAUUCUACUAUACAAAUAUACGUAUCAAAUAGAUAAUAUAUAAGUAAGCAAAGUAUCGAUCCCAUAGAGAAUUGAUUUAAAAUUUUAUUAAGUAUUAAAAUUAGAAUAAUUUAAUCUUAUCCAAAUACUCAAAAUUAAUUGAUUAACUAAAACUAAUUAACUAAAAUUUAAACCAAUAGGAAAAAUCAAAAUAAUAAUAACUUAUCAAAUCAAGCAAGCCUAAGAUUACAAUAUCUUUCACACUUCAUCUAAGUCUUACCUCUCUUCCUUAACUUAUUUCAAUAGGUUGAAUUGCUAACCUAGAGUCCUAAUUUAUUUAUAAGGGUCUACCGACUCAUCUUAUAAAAAUAUUUAUUUUAACCAAAUCACUAUAUCACUAUGUGAAUUGAAAUUAAAACAGACUCAUUAAGUUCAGCUCUAAUCUGGCUACAUAUGGCCUAUAGGUAUAUCCCUAUCCUAUACGCAAAUCAAUUAAUAUAAUCAUAUGCUAUCUCAAUUUUAGUCUAUACUAAACUCGCUUUCCUAAGUUUUUUUAAGUUUCUAAAUCAAUUUAAUUGGUGGUCAAGCAAUUAAAAGCAUUAAGAACAAAUUAGAAUAAACAAUUUAACUCCCAUUGAAGAUAAGUAAGAAAGAGAUUACAAAACUAGAUUAUAUAUGAGUUCAAUUGUAAUCCUAGAAAAAGAAAAUUAGCUACUCAUGAUUACAAAAACAAAUAACAUCAUAAUAAAUUCAACCAUUGAGAGUAACAAUAAAAAUAAAAGCCAAAGAAGAAAAGAAAACAAUAUUUGCCGCUUGAUAUCCAAGUUUCAGCCUCAACUACUAGCUUCUUGAAUCUCCAAAAAGUUUUUUCUAAUAUUGUUAAAUAAAUCAUAUUUAUACUAAUAAAUUUAACUUAAAAUUUCUUAAGUUGACUUAGGGUUUAAUUAAACUUAAAAGUGUAAUGAGAGGCACAAAAAUCAAUUGUCAAUCUUGGCUACUGACCCCAAAAAAUGGCAGAGCAAGCUUGUUGAAAAUCAAGAGAAGAAGAGGUAAAAUGGAGAAUCGAAAAGCAUCAGAGCAUGUGGCAUGCAAUUCGCAUACGAAUUACAGCCUCCGCUGUUUGUCGAUUUCGAUCUCGACAUCUCUUCUGGAUCGAGUUGUCUUCUCGUGGGCUCCAACGGAUCUGGGCAGACGAUAUUGUUGAAAAUUUUAGCUGGAAAGCAUAUGGUUGGUGGAAGAGAUGUUGUGAGAGUGCUAAACCGUUCGGCUUUCCAUGACACUCAACUUGUUUGCAGUGGCGAUUUAGCUUAUUUGGGUGGAUCUUGGAGUAAAACUAUUGGCUCUGCUGGCGAGGUUCCAUUGCAGGGGGACUUCUCGGCAGAACACAUGAUAUUUGGAGUUGAAGGGAUUGAUCCUGUGAGGAGAUAAAAAUUGAUUAACCUGCUUGAUAUUGAUUUGCAAUGGCGAAUGCAUUAGGUAUCUGAUGGGCAACGGCAACGAGUCCAAAUUUGUAUGGGUCUUCUUCAUCCUUUCCAGGUUCUUUUGCUAGAUGAGGUUACGGUGGACCUUGAUGUUGUUGCGAGGAUGGAUCUACUUGAUUUCUUUAAGGAGGAAUGUGAGCAGAGAGGAGCCACAAUUGUAUAUGCAACCCAUAUCUUUGAUGGGUUGGAGACAUGGGCAACACAUCUAGCUUACAUCCAAGAUGGUGAAUUGAAGAGAUCUGAGAAGUUGACAUAAGUUACUGAGUUGAAAAGCUCAGAAAAUUUGCUUUCUGUUGUUGAGGCCUGGGUUCGCUCCGAAACCAAGUGCGAGAAAAAGAAACCCAUCAAAACCCCCGCCCAAGUCCAGAAGGCCUCGCCCUUUGGUACUUCUUCUUUCAUGUCAUCCAGGCACAUGGCACACUAUCGUUGAUCUCUCUUAAUCCAGCAAUUUUUCAAUAAUUUUUUGAAAAUCGAAGCCAGAAAUACAAGUGGGGAAAGUUUUCGUCAGCUACUAUUGACGUUUGCUCUCCCCACUAUAGAAUAAUAUACUUGUUAGCUCCAUCUUGUCUAAUUAAUAGGGAAUAGCCUUUCUCUCUUUCUGGUAAUUCUGUUUAAAAAUGAUAAUGGUGAAACACAUGGUCUGUCUUUGGAAAAUAGUGUUGUAAUUUAUCAACCAUUUUGGUAAUGGAAAAAAAAAAUUGUCAAUCUUUACAAAUUUUCAUUUCCGGUAUAAUACGUCUAGCCAUUUUUCAAUACGAUUUUCUCUAUCUUCGAUGUAGAACUGUGUAAAGUGAUAUUCAUAAAAGUUGUAGCUCCGUCUCUUAGCUUUCCAAUGGUACAAGAAUCGUAUCAUUUGGAGUUCUGUUGCUCAAGUUAUGGCUAAAAUAUUAAAAUAUAUACAAGCAGACUUUCGGAUCUUUCAACAUCUCAUUUUUCAAAAUUAAGCCCAAUUUUUUUAAUUCUUACAAAAUAUAAAACUAAUAAACAAUAGCCAAAUUAAAAAGAAUAACAUAAAAUUAAAAUAACUCACUUACAAAUAAACUAAUUAUAAAAAUAACUAAAAAUAAAUAAAUUAUAAUUAAAAAUUGAAGACUUCGCUAAUAUUUAAUAACAAAAUUAGAAUAAAAUAACUCUAUAAAAUAGAAUUAUCACACCUCCAAAUUUAAGAUUUUGCUAGUUCUCGAGCAAAAGAAAAUCACAAAAAGAAAACUGAACAUAAACAAUUCUUGAACAAGAGAUAGAAGUAUCAAAUCAUGAUUUCCCAAAAUUUCUUCAAAAAUUAACUCAAAUUCCAACUUAAAGUAAACAUACAGUUAAUCCUUAAAUUUGUGCAUCAAUUCAAGUGAAAAUUUACUUUUCGAAUGGACUUCCGUGUGUGUGUGAAUGUUCUCUUACAAAGAAUAUCAUACAAUUCGGAUUAGUUUAUGCCAAAUCUAAGCAUAGAUUAGUAUUAGGAUCCUAUAAGUUUGCUUUUCAUCUCUUUCUCCAUUAAUGUAGAUUAACACUUAUUUAAGGAUCAAUAGGUUUUUAUCAAGCUUGUAAUGUAAGGCUAGGGUCAAGGUAUGAUAAAAGAUAUAUUUAGGCUCAAAUUCACCCUAAGCACUUAAUCAAUUUAGGACAUAUAAAGAGCUCGAUUUUUUUUUAUAGCACCCCCAAACUUGAAGUAAACUUUCCUUUGUACAACACACUUUAUUUCUUUUCUUUUUUUUUUUUUAAACCCCCAAACUUAUUUUUGACAAUUAUAAACUAAGGGUCAUUUUCCUAACAACCAUCACUUUUUUUUUUCACCUUUCUCCCUCAAUUUAUUCUUAAACUCAAAUCAUUCUUUAGAAAGAUUAAAAUACUUAGAAGGUGAAAGGUUCAAAUUGAUGAAUUUAAAUCGACAAACCAAGGCUAACAUAAUUGUUUAAUUAGAAAGAAAAGGUAAAUUAGGCUCAAAAAGGGUGACUAAGGAUAAAUAUAACAAGGUAGGCUCAAAAAGGCUCAAACGGUCUAAAGAUGGCUUAAAUCACUUCCUAUCCUAAGUGUUAUAUAAGAUUUUGCCUCGAGAGAGAAUCAAACAAAUUCUAAAAUUCUUGACUUCACUAUACUUUUUCAUCAAUAUAAAAUCUCUCUAAAUCACACAAAAAUUCUAAGUUAAAGAGUAUAGUGCUCAAAUUAUUGGAAGUUACAUUCUAAAAUAAAGCUAAUACAAGAAUAUCAUAUAAAAUUAAAUCAUAACUAUAUGUCUCCCAAAAGCUAAGAAUCAAAAGAUAAUUAAAAUAUCAUCCUAGGAUUGGGACAAUCAUGAAUGAGGUGCAACUAUCUCAACUUUUUUUUUGAAACACAAUAAAACAUGCAACACAUAAAUAAAUAUGCAAGACAUAUCUUAAAAUAAAGCUAACUAAAAAAAUUAACUAACAAAAUUCUAAACCACUCCCCCAAACUUGGAAUAAACAUUGUCCUCAGUAUGAUAAAAGAAAAUAAAAGAAAAAGGACAAGAAUACUCCCCUAACUCUGAAGCUGUAGUCUACAUGUCCUCCGCAUCGUCACCACCCAUUAUCUACUCUUAGCAACAAAGCAUUCAUCAAUUAUAUAUGCAGCAAACAACAAGUCCAUGAAUCCAUUAUAUGGGUAACAAGAAAUUGGCACUAUUAUUCAAAAUUUUCGGCACUCUAAGCAUUAAUCAUGAGGAAGUAUAAAAAACCCAUUAACAAACAUGCACAAUGGAAUCAUUCAAGUAGCAAAGAUUAUAGAAUUUACUAUGAACACCAACCUCAUCCUCUCUCUAUACAAAACAAUUGACAACCCAAUGUUUGGAGGAGUACUUACCUUAAGAGUGCAGGAUUUCAAAGGGAAAAUAAAAAAAAUCCAAGUAGAAAGAACAUGCAAAAAGUUUGGAGUGAAAAAGAGAAAACAGAGGAAGGCAAGAGAUUGGUAGGAGGAGGAAGAAUGGGAGUAGGUAUGGCGGCCAAAGAAGAAGAAGAAUGAAAGAAGAAGAAAAAAAAAUAAAAUGGUUUUCAAAAGGUUAAGGUUAGAGUGGCAAGUGAAGGUCGCGGCGCACAAAAUUUUUUUUCACCCCAAGCGUUACGCUUUGGGUUUGAGUGCCACGACUCUCCCUUUGAGGGCCGCUGCGCUAAAACAUUCUGUUUCAGGUUAUUUUUUUAACCUCAUCCAAGGUUGCGGCUCUCAAUUUGAGAGCCGCAACUUUGACUUUUUUUAUUUUUUUUAUUUUGAUUUUUUUGAAUUUUUUUUAAACCAAUUACUUGCAAAAGGAAACAUAAAAAAAAAAAGAAUUAGAUCACAAGAAAUAAAUUGAUACUAACAAAACUUAAAUAAAAGACGAAAAUUAGUAAGGUUAAGGAGCUUGGGCUGCUUUCCAAGAAGCACUCGUUUAUAGUCAGUAGCUUGACUAUAGCACCCUUUUUUUCAGUUCUUCAUCCUCGAAAUAUGGUCUAAGGCUCAUCUCAUUAACCAUGAUUGUUCCUGUAUCUUACUAUAAAUCUCAAUUAUUCCACAAGGAUAAGCCUUUACUACUUUGAAAGGACCCUACCAUCUUUCUUUGUGUUUCCAUGGAAAAAGCUUAAAGUAUGAUCGAGAAAGCAUCAUUACUUAUUGUCCAAUCUCGAAAGGACAAUUAGAUGGUGGUGAAGGAUGCUCCGUUGGUGACUGCUUAGGUCUCAUAGGUAGAGGUGGUAGCUUACUCUCAAAGAUUAAUGCUUGCUCACUUGUAGGUGGAGAAAUAAGUUCACCUUUGCCUUCAUCAAUUAACUCUACUUUAUAGCAACAAUAUGUAGAGCUAGGAUGUUUAUUUGCAUUGAAAAUAUUAAACUCAACUACCUCUACUCCAACUUUAAAAGUUAUAUUGCCUUCCCUCACACCAAUGAUUGCGCCUGUAAUAGCUAAGAAUGGUCGUCCCAAGAUUAAAGGAAUUUCUAGAUCUUCUUACAUCUCAAGCACAAUGAAGUCCAUCGGAAUGUAAAGAUCCCCAACUUUAACCAAUACAUCCUUAAUAAUCUCAACAGGGUACUUGAUUGUUCUAUUUGCUAAUUAUAAAGAAACUGUGGUAGGUUGUAUCUCGUUAAGUCCAAGUUUCUCAACAAUUGAGAAAUGCAUGAUUGAAACACCUGCACCCAAAUCACAUAAAGCUUUGGUAAAUUUAAAUCUAGCAAUAGUACAAGGGAUCAAAAAACUCCCUGGAUCCUUAAGUUUUGGUAGAAGCUUGUUUUGAAUUAGUGUGCUACAUUCCUCAAUAAGUGCCACUGUUUCAAAGUCUUCCAGUUUCCUCUUCUUGGUUAAGAUGUCUUUCAAGAAUUUAAUAUAACUCGGCAUAUUUUCCAAAGCUUUAGCAAAAGGGAUGUUUAUGUGGAGCUUCUUAAAGACAUUGAGAAAUUUCUCAAACUGUUUAUCAAGCUUUUUCUUUUUCAACCUUUGUGGGAAUGGUGGUGGAGGAUAAUUUGCUUCAAAAUUCCCUUGAUUUUUAGCUUGCCCGUUAUCUGUCUUUUCCACUUCAACUUUUUUCUCAACAAUUACCUUGUCAUCAUUUUCGUACUCCUUUGAAGAUUCAAUUGAUUUUUCACUCACCCCUUCAAUUUCUUUGCCACUCCUAAGGGUAAUUGCAUUACAAUGUUCCUUACUUUUGGGAUUGACUUAUGUAUCACUUGGUAAGGCACCUUGGGGUCUACUGUUGAUGGAGUUUGCAAGUUAUCCCACUUAGGUCUCAAGAUUUCUCAAGGAGGCUCCAUAGCUCUGAAUUAUGGCAUCAAUCUUGGACAUAUAUUGCAAGAUAAGUUCUUCCACUUGGGACUUUUUUUUAAGAAUUGAUGGUCUAGAUUGUUGUUGAAAACUAGGAGGCACGUUGGGGUUUGGAUUGGAAGGCCCUGCAUUAUUGUUCCAUGAAAAGUUAGGGUAGUUUCUCCAACUAGGAUUGUAUGAAUUAGAAUAAGGGUUAUUUUGCUGCCUAUUGAAGUUCCCCACAAAUUAGACUAAUGCAGAAUUGUAUGAACAUGGAUCACUUGAAUGACUAUCUCCACACAUCUCACAGACUACAAAUGAAUUUUUAACGGCAUGAACUCCCAGUGUGUCAAACUUUUUAGAUAGUGCAGCCACUUCUGCAACUACUUUAGCAGUUAAAGUGCCAAGUGCAUCAAUUUUCUAAACUUCAAUAGCUUUUCUUGGACUCGACCUUUCUGAAGGCCAUUGAUAAUUAUUUGAAGCCAUCUCUUCCAACAAAUUAUAAGCAUAUGCAGUAUUCUUACUCAUUAAUGCCCCACCAACAGUAGCUUCAAUUGUGGUUUUUAUUGACCCAACCAACCUAUUGUAAAAUGUCUGAACUUGUAACCAAUUAGGAAUCCCAUGAUGUGGACAUCUUCUCAAUAGUUCUUUAAACCUCUCCCAAGCUUCAUACAAGGAUUCACCAUCAAAUUGUGUGAAUGAGGUGAUAUCGUUCUUCAUCUUUGUCGUCUUGGCAGGCAGAAAAAAUUUUGCUAGAAAAUUUUGUGCCAAGUCUUCCCAUUUAGUGAUAAACCCAUUGGGCAGUGAAUUAAGCAAGCUCUUUGCUUUAUCCCUAAGAGAAAACGGAAACAGUCUUAAUCUAAUAGCAUCAUCAAUUUAAAGGUAUCUCAAAUCUCCAAGAAAUUUACUAAAUGAGAAUUAGGAUCAUCACUGGGUAACCCACCAAACUAGACUGAAGACUAAAUCAUUUGAAUGUAAGCUGGUUUAAUUUCGAAAUUAUUUGCAUUGAUGGAUGGUCUCCUAAUGCUUUGGUGCAAACCUUGCAACAGAGGAACAACAUAAUCUUGCAGUGCUCUAUUUGCUUCGGGAAUUAAAUUAAUGGCAUUAUUGCCAUUGUUAUUAUUAUCCUCAGCCAUUGUCUGACUUAAAGUUGCAACUUGUAAAUUCUCCCUUCGACAUCUACUAAAAGUUCUUUCUAUCUCAAGAUCAAAAGGAACAUGAUUCAAGUUGUUUCUUCUUUGCAUACAAUGACCAAAGAUAUCUGCAAACAAACAAAAUCUAAUGUUAAAACAAAAAAAAAAAGAAAAUUUGAAGUAAGACUAAAUUGCUUGGUAUUAGUAUUAAUAAAAAUUCUAGAAACAAUUCCCCAACAAUGGCGUUAAAAACUUGUCAGUUAAAAUUCUACUACGCAAGUAUACGUAUUGAAUAGGUAGUAUAUAAGCAAGCAGAGUAUCGAUCUCACAGAGAAUUAAUCUAAAAUUUUACUAAGUACUAAAAUUAGAAUAAUUUAAUCUUAUCCAAACACUCAAAAUUAAUUGAUUAACUAACUAAUUAACUAAAAUUUAAACCAAUAGGAAAAAUCAAAAUAAUAAUAACUUAUCAAUUCAAACAAGCCUAGGAUUACAAUAUCCUUCACACUUCAUCUAAGUCUUACCUCUCUUCCUUAACUUAUUUCAAUGGGUUGAAUUGCUAACCUAGAGUCCUAAAUUAUUUAUAAGGGUUUCCCGACUCAUCUUAUAAAAAUAUCUAUUUUAAUCAAAUCACUAUAUCCCUAUGUGAAUUGAAAUUAAAACAGACUUAUUAAGUUCAGACUCUAAUCUAGCUACAUAUGGCCUAUAGGUAUAUCCUUGUCCUAUACGCAAAUCAAUUAAUAUGAUCAUAUGCUAUCCCAAUUUUAGUCUACACUAAACUCCCUUUCCCAAGUUUGUUUAGGUUCCUAAAUCAAUUUAAUUGAUGGCCAAGCAAUUAAAAGCAUUAAAAACAAAUUGAAAUAAACAAUUCAAUUCCCAUUGAAGAUAAGUAAGAAAGAGAUUAAAAAUCUAGAUUACAUGUAAGUUCAAUUGCAAUCCUAAAAAAGAAAAUUAGCUACUCAUGAUUGCAAAAACAAAUAACAUCAUAAUAAAUUCAACUAUUGAGAGCAACAAAAAAAAUAAAAGCCAAGGAAGACAAAACAUUAUUUGCCGCUUGAUCUCCAAGUUUCAGCCUCAACUCCUAGCUUCUUGAAUCUCCCAAAUGUUUUUUUCUAAUAUUUGUAAACAUAUCCUAUUUAUACUAAUAAACUUAACCUAAAGUUCCUUAAGUUGACCUAGGGUUUAAUUGGGCUUAAAAGUGCAAUCAGAGGCCCAAAAAUCAAUUAUCAAUCUUUACAAAUUUCCAUUCCUAGCACAAUACGUCUAGCAAAUUUACAACAUGAUUUUUCUAUCUUCAAAGCAGAACUAAGUAAAGUAAUCUUCCUGAAAUUUGUAGCUCUAUCUCUUAGCUUUUCAAUGGUCUAAGAAUCGCAUCAUUUGGAGCUAUGUAGCUCAAGUUAUGGCCAAAAUGCUAAAGCAUAUGCAAAUAGACUUUUGGGUCUUUCAACAUCUCACUUUCUAAUAUUAAGCACAAUUUCUUUUAGUUCCUACAAAAUAUAAAAACUAAUAACAAUAACCAAAUUAAAAAGAAUAACAUAAAAUUAAAAUAACUCACUUAAAAAUAAACUAAUUAUAAAAAUAAUUAAAAAUAAAUAAAUUAUAAUUAAAAAUUAAAGACUUAGCUAAUAUUUAAUAAUAAAAUUGAAAUAAAAUAAUUCUAUAAAAUAAAAUUAUCAUCCGCCGUCUCUAUCUCUUUAUUACAAAUAAGGCAUAAAGCAACAUUCUCAUUGAUGAUGCCCCUUUUAAGCUCUCUUUUAACCGCCACUUUCCCAUGGAGGACUUGUCAACAAAAGACUUCUACUUUUGAAGGAACAAUAUUGGAUCAAACCGCUUUCCAUAGAUUACGAUCUUUCCACUAUUACAAAUAAGAUAUUACAGUAUAUUUAAACCCUCUAAUCCAUUAAAAGGUUCAUCUAAAAGAUUAACGCUAUAAUUAAAAAGACAAAGACGUUUCAAAUACCAUAAAUGAGAUAGAGUCAAUGGACAUUCUAGUUGUAUGUAUCCCAUUUGAUAAUCUAACCUUAUUUAUAAUCUAAGAUGGAUGAUAAAAGAAUUUGGCAUGCACCUAUGUCUAAAGCAACUUUUUUUGAAUAGUUCAUUGAAGUAAGGUACCAUGAUUUCGGUUUGAGUCAAACUCUUUUGUCAAAAUUCAUACUUUAUCUCUAAAACAAGUUCAUGGGUCACAUCAAAGUCAGCAAGCAAUGACUAGAUUUUAAUGACUAAAUAUUUUGAUAAGUAAAUUCCAGAUUGAGCUUUCAAUAAGAAAAUAUCAUGGCAAGCCCAGGUUUACGAUUGUUAAUAACAUUUCAUUAGUAAAGAAAUAUAUCAAGGGUUCCCUUUUGUUUUCUAUAUUUCGUACCUCAUACACACGAACAGAUAAGUCUAUGAAUAAAGAAAUACAAGUAGUGGAUAGAACAAAGGUAAAUAAUGAUAAUGCUUUAAAUUUCAAUAAUUUAUUUAUUAGACAUAUGUAUCAUAGUUGAACAAGAAAUUAAAUAAGCAUGAAGUUUAAACUUUAAACACCUAACAACAAGCAUGAAAUCUUUGCUAUAGAACUAAUUAAAACAGAAUAACAACACAAUAAUUAAAGCUUAAGGGAUAAAUCAAUCUUUGAAGCAUCAUUGUUAUCACUUCCUGAAGGAUUGCUUGGUUGAAGAUAAUCGCUUCUAGCAGCCUUGUUUGUUGCAACGUUUGCCUGAGAAAUAUCACUAAAGCUGCAAGGUGCACCAGUUUCCUGAGAUCUUGAAGAACUUGAAGGCCCUGAAAUACCAAAUCCACCAUUGUUCAUGCUUAACCUUUCAUUAAUAGUUGGCCGAGGAGGGGUCAGUAUGGCUUGCCUAGACCAACCAUGACCAAGAUGAUGAAAUCCGCCGAUCGAUGUCCAAGGAUAUGAAGGCUUAUGGAUCAUGGAGUCUAGUCUAACCCCAAGGGGUGAUCUAUUCAAAGAUCCAUAAAAAGGGUGUGGAGAUAUGGUUGAAUAAGGGUUAUAGGGAUAAGGUGGAAAGCUAAAACCAUUCACAUCCAUCCCUUGACGCCUUUUGGCUAAUGCACGUUCUUGUUUGUGAGCAUUUUGAUGGCCCCCCAAGGCUUGAGAAGUAGAGAACUCUCUCUUGCAGUAAUUGCAAGAGAAAACCCUAUUUGAAUCAUCAGAUCGCUUUUCGCGCGGGGUCUGGUGAUCACCAGAGUCCUUUGAGUGAGACGAAGUAGGGCUCAUAGGGUUGAAAAGAUUGAGUUCUAUCUUUGGUUUGCAUAGCGAAUCAUCACUGAAAAGUUUCAAGUCAAGCAAAAUACCAAGACUUGAUUCAGAUGCUUUGGCAGCUUCAUUAACCUUGUUGGGUGUAACUCCUUCCAAGGUUGCUGAUAUGCUAGAGGCUUCAGAAGGGCAUAGUUCUGCACUAAUUAUAACCAUGGCUAAAAGAUGUUUGGUUUAGGGGUGAAAUUGAGGGGCAUAGUUUUGGUGUUUAUAUUCAAGGUUUGGUCAAUGAAAUAUCCUUCCAAUUAUGGAAAGAAAUCCCAUUGUGUUGUUGUUACUUGCAUCAUUUUAGCUCAAGAUUAAAAUCAUGACUAAGCUUGUCAAGAUUUUGUGUCUUAGGAAAUGCUUGCCAUCAAAUACUUCUAAAGGGGUAUCAAACUACUAUGUGAACACAAUUGCUUACUUAAUAGGUCAAACUUCUGUAAAAGAGUCAUUGAUAUUUUGUGGAAAUCAAUGGUCAUAAUAAGGUGUAUACUACUCCUUUUACACCUAUGUCUCCCAAAUUAAGCUUAAUAACAUUGAAUAGUUUAUGAAAGCAUUGAUAUUAUAUCCUUUUAAAGAUAUAAUUUUGCUCUAUAAAUCAAUUCCAAGUGUGUUUGUAAUCAAGCCUGAGAAUUGAGGUUCAAAAUUAAACAAUAGUUUAUCACAAGUUAAAUAGAAAAUAUAAUUUAUGAUUGCAUAAAUAAUGAAGGGAAUAUACAUCAUGUUUGAUAUAAGCAAAGCUUAAUUAAAAAAUUAUCAUUUAUGCUAACCUCUGAAUUUAACAGAGAAACUUCUAUAUAUAACUAGAAUAGUGAAAUGAUGGGUGGCCUUAUGAUCAUGAGAAUAUUUACCAAAUUUCAUUUUUUUCCUUUUUCUUUCUCUUGUUAACUAUUUUCCUAAUGCGCCAUAAAAUCCUGAUUUUUCUUUUGAGAAAUAUCAUGAGAGUUAGAUAUAGAUCUUUUUUUAAAUGGUAAUUAAAUCCUAUGGGUGUAGUUGAAAGUAAGAAAUAGAAGAAUUUGGAAGGUGUUGGGCAGGAUAGAGAUGUGAGGCAUCAAUUUUACAGUCAUUUAGGAUAAGAAUGAAGCUGGUUAAGAAUAAAUUAUAGUAAGAUUCAAAAAUGUUGACCAAUGUGUAAGCCCUAGUUGGUAUCAGGUUGUUCUUGCCUAAAAUUAAUUAAAGUUUUGGAAUCUUAUUUCCUUGACAGAAUUUAAUGCUUAGCAUAAAUAAUCUUGACAUAUAUAGGUGAGAUAUUUAUGGGAUGAGUUUUGGCUGAACCAUAGAUGUAAAUCUGGUGUUUGAUCUCUAAUACUAAGAAGAUUGUUUGACUUCAAAGUUCAAAUAACGAUCCCAAAAUUUAUCAUAUAUUAAUUUGAGCUUGAAAGAAAAUUAAUCAAGUAAUGGGGAUUUUUUUUUUGUAAGACAGUUUAACUUACUUAACAUUAGGAGUAAUUAGGACAAUAGUAACGAGAGUCAAAGAGGGUUUUUAUUUAUGAACUAGAUAGCUUCCCAUGAUGUUUUGGGAAAUUUUUUUUAAGAAAUAGUUUUUCUACAAAUUUAAAAUCAUUUAUCUAAUAUGUAGCAUCCAACAUCUGAUUAAAUGGUACCUAUAUAUACCUCCGCAUUUUAAAAAAAAUGAAUUUAAAUUCCCUCUUCUCUAAAUAGAAAAAUUAUUUACCUUCAAAUGAAAAAAAGUAUGACACUAAUUAAAAUGACCCGAAACUUCAAUAGUAAAAAAAUUAAAGAGAGAGAUAUUAGAAGCCCUAGCACAAGUCCAAAAUAGGGUAAGGAAAUCAAAAAGUCGAGGUUAUAUGUUAAAAUAUGAUCAAGAAAUUAUUGUCACAUUUUCUUUUGCAAGUAUGAUUUUAGGCUAUACAAUGAGAAACAACUUUCUUUCAUCUUAAGUUUUACCUAUUGCAAUGUCCAUUUUGGAGAUAUUAUCACAUUUGAUAAAAUAGUAGUAUAGCAAUCAACAUAGUUCACAUAAAGUUCUUCAUUAUUUUAGUUAAAAUACUAUUUAAAAUUGUAAAGUGAAAAAAAAUUGAUCAAUAUUAAGUUGUUUUAAGUCCCUUGCAAGAUUGUUAAAGAAAAGGAACAAAAAGAAGAAAGAAAAAGAAGAAAAUAAUGAAAGAAUUGUUGGUAUAUUUUCAAAAUGAAAGAUUAUGUCUCUUCAUAUGAAAAAUUGUAAAUGAAAAGUUAUAUUUUUUCAUUUGAAAAGUUGUAACUAUUGGAAAGACACAUUAAUUAAAAAGUUACAUCACAUAUUGUGACUAUUAGAUUGUUGAUGGUUUUUCAUAUCAAAAGUUAUAUCUCUUAAUAAAGUGAUAUUUGGAAAAAUACCUCUAAAUCCAAACAUUAUGAGACAAUUGAAAAACACCACUCAUAAGUUAUGCUAUGAAAAGUUAUUUUUUCAUAUUGUUACUUAAAGGUUAUAUCUUAUGAUAUGAAUGCUAUACAUAAGUACAUUAUUAUUUAGGUUCCCAUAAGAGUUAUAAGUAUAAUAUAAUUUCUUUUUAUUUAAUUUUACUUGUAUUAGGAAGUUAAGCUAGUUAUGUUCUAUUUAAGAAUAGAACACCUAUUUUAUUUAAAUCUCUUGUUAACUACUUUAGUUGUAUAAGACAACUUGAAGUAGAAAUUUAUUAGGACGUGGACCUAUAAUACUACAAAUAGGACCUUUAGGCUUAGUUAUUGUUCACAUUGAAAUUGAAAAUUAAUAAAGAAUAUUUUCUUUAGUAAGCAAGAAUGCUUAUUUUCUUUGGGCUCUUUUCAAAAGAGUAAGAGGUUCUAAUAUCUUUGGCUUGGCCAACUAAAGUGGGAUUUUGGCUAUCUUUUCACCUUAUUGGGGUUUUCAACCUUUCCAAGAUUAGUGAUUUACCUUAGUGGAGUUUCUAAUCUCGCCAUAAUUGAUGUAUUUCACAAUGCCUAUGUGUCUUUACAACACCCCGACGUCAAUUUGGAAUUAAAGUAAGAAGAUCAUUAUUCGUUGUGUAGUUUGGGCUUUUGUCAUUGUUCGUUUCGACUCUCAUUGUUGAGCCAACAAAAUACCACCAAGAUGCCAAAAUCGUCAAAUAAAUGAUCACAAGAUCGAGAUUCAAGAACUAUGUCACCAAAUUCAAAAAUUACAAGAGCAACUCGCAAGACGUGAUACUGCUCAAAUCAACAAUGGCAGUUGUAGUGAUUAACAAAAUGAUACCAACCCUUUUCAUCAAAAAUUUUCCUUUAAUGAAAAAGUACCUAUUCAUUGCCUAAGAGCUACUAUUACUCGAGAUUUGGGAAUCAAGAAACUUCUAAAGCUCCAAACGUCAUGAAACGACUUUAGUGCUAUCUUACAAUUGAAGGUUGUUGCCUUCGGAGUUGUAAAAGAAUUGUAUGAGAAAGAUCCUAAUUUUGGUGAGAUAUGGAAGUCCAGUUCUCAGCAUCCUUAUCGACAAUUUCACUAACAAAAAUAAUAUCUUUUCAAAGGUAACCAACUAUGCAUCCUUUAAUGUUCUCUAUGCCAAUCUAUUAUCUGCGAAACUCAUAAUGGAGGAUUAGCUGGACAUUUUAGGAGGGACAAAACAUUGGCUUUUGUGAACAAAAAGUUUUAUUGGCCCAAGCUGGAGCAAGAUAUCAUUCGACAUAUUCAAAGGUGUCAUAUUUGCCAUAUUUGCAAGCUUGGAAAUCAAAACACUAGUACGUAUAAACCAUUACCCAUUCCUGAAGCUCCUUAGAUAGAUGUGAGUAUGGACUUUGUUUUGGGUUUGCCAAAAACUCAAAGGCAAAGGGACUCUAUAAUGAUGGUUGUCGAUAGACUUUUCAAAAUGGCUCAUUUUGUGCCAUGCCACAAAACUGAUGAUGCUUCUCACACAAUCGAUUUGUAUUUUAAAGAAAUUAUAUGUCUUCAUGGAAUUCCAAAAACCAUCACUUCAAAUCUAGAUGUGAAGUUCAAGAGACAUUUCUAGUGAACUCUCUAGAGAAAAAUGGGAACUCAUUUGCACUUUAGUUCAGCAAGUCACCCUCAAACAGAUGGUUUAAUAAAAGUGGUCGACAAAAAUUUAGGAAACUUAUUAUGAAGCUUUCUGUAGGUAAACACAUUCGCCAACGAGAUCUUGUGUUAGCACAAGUAGAAUUUUCUUACAAUAAUUCUGUGAGCCAAACCACUAAAAGAUGUUCAUUUGAAAUAGUGUAUGGAAAACUGUCAAACCCUGCUUUGUAAAAUAAUUAUAAUAUCAUUCACAUUCUCGAUAGAAUGUUUGUAUAUUUAGGAAGUUCGAGAAAUCGUUAAAAGACGAUAUUGUCGCUAAUGGUAUCAUUAAGUCGAUUAAGCCUCGAACUAGUUCAAAUAGGAAUUUUAAGGUGAAAUUAAGAGUUUCACAGUUCAGGGAUGACUCAAAAUGGUAAUUAGGAGUUCGAGGAUCAAUUCGGAGUCAAAUUGAAAUUUUCACUAUAUAGGGGUAAAAUUGUAAUUUUUCCAUCUGCGGACAAAAUUUGAGAUUUUGAGAGAAUUUAGAUCACAUUUGACAAAUUGGGGAAUGAUAUGAGUAUAAGGGAUAAAAAAUAUGUCUAUGGGCAAUUUUUCAGUUUUUGGGGCAAAAAUGUAAUUUUUGAUUUUUACGGGGGCAAAAGUGUAAAUAUCAAAAAUUACUUCACCAAGACUUUGGAUAAGUUUGAGAAUUUUAUCUAAGUUAUGGAUAUUUUAAGGAAUAAUGUGUGGUGGAGAUUUAAAGCUUAAAAGAUAAGAAUUUAAAAAAUAGACCAAUAAUGUAGUGACAUGUGGCAAGUUUAGAUUAUUUUAUUAUUUAACUAUAAAAAUCAGCCCACACCACCAUUUUCUCUUCAUUAUGGCCGGCCAUAGCAAGAAAACAAAGGGGAAAAGAAAAACAAAAACCUAGGGGGAGAAAUUCAAGGAAAAAUUGGUGAAAAUUCAAGGAAACAAGUGACCAAAGGUAAAAUUUCUUGAUUUUGACUUGUGCUUUACCUUUCCCAUGCAUUUCCCAUCAUUUUCCAUGGUUGAAUCAUGUGAUUUGAGGAUGAAUUCAAUUCUGGAAAAAUGGGUUAGGAGAGAGAAACUUGUUAGAUUAAUUUGAUUUUAAGUUAUGUUAGUGUUUUAAGUUAGUUUAGCAUAUUUAGGAACAAAACAACAAGAAAAGAAUUUAUUUUCCUCCAUUACCAUUAUUGGCUGAAUUUUCUAGGGGAAUAUUGGCUGAUGAUCUUGAUGUUUAUUUGAGGAAUUAUGAUGAAUAAUGAUGAAUUAUGAGUCUAGAAAAAUAAUGGAAAUUUUUGGAGCAAAAAUAUGAAUUUUUACCCAUUAGGGGUAUUUUCGUAAUUUGCUAUCAGGACUGAUAAUUUGCACCACACCGAGGGACAUUAAGUCAAUUUGGGUGCAAUUGAGGUAUAGAAACUGAAAAAAAUUAAUUUGAGAUUAAAUUGGACGCGUUAGUAAUUUAAUCGGGUAAUAGGCCGAAUUAGGUCAGCACCGCAUUUAAGCGGUAGUCGGAUAAGUUGCAUGUCAUAUCAUGCAUAUAUACCGAGCCUGAAUUGAUUUUAUAAUGGUCAAGCAUUGAUGUGGUGAAUUAUGUAUUGUACAUUGUGGAUAGGUGGUGAGCAAAUUACACUGGUAAAAGUACAGAAAUUGUGCUUGAAGACUGGGAUUAGGAGUACAUCGACUCCUAGAACUGUGAGUGGACAAUUUAUCGUCUUAAAUAUCUAGAGUAAUUAUACUUGUUUGAUGCUUUUAUUGAAUGGUGAGUUUAAAUUAUAAAAUAUUAUGUUUUCCAAUUAAAAUGUUUUUUAAUAAAAAUGAGAUUUAUACUGGUUUUGAAAUCAAAUAUUGUUUUGGGAAAAUUGAGUAUAUGGAGACUGUGUUGAAAUUUAUGAUUUUAUAUGUUAUUGAAAUUGGGGCUUAUGACACUAUGGUAGCAUGAUGGCUAAAUUUUUGGGGUUGGCAUGAAAUAUAUGAACAAUUUUGGAUUGGUCUCGGUAGACUGGAUUACAUUUUAUUCGCCAUAUUAUGCUACUGGAAUUUUUAUGGGUCUGGUGGUAUAUUAAACGGUCACUGCAGUGGUGGGGGUUUUCGUGGACUGCCUAUGAGAGGGGCACGGUAACUCAAUUAUAUACUUACCUCCGGGGGGAGAUGUUGGGUGAAGUAUCUCCUGAGGUAUGAUUUGAGUGCACCUCACGUUCGGGCCACCACGUGAGAGUGAGACUCAGCCAACGCCAAGGAACGGCUGUGUGUCAGAUGUGAAAACAUGUUUAUGGGUAUGGGUCAUUGAACAGCCUUGGCGGUCUCAGUGGGAUACCUUGACGAAGGUACCCGCGAGAAUGAUAUUGGCAGGGGCCAAGUUUAAAAAAAUUCAUAAGUCGGGGAAAUUUUGAUGAAAAGAAAUUAUUUGGUAUAGAUUGAAACGAAUUUUGUGUUAUGAACAUUAUUGAGAUAUAACGUUUUUAUAUUGUCUCCAUCUACUCGGCUUUAGAUGCUUUUGAUGGUAAUUGUUUACUCACUGGGAUUAUUUAAUCUCACCCCUCUUCCUAUCCAUUUUUCAGGCUCAGGACAGUUUGUUGAUAGUUGAUUAAGACGAGAAUUAAUCUCGGAGUUGCAUCAUAGGAAGUAAGGGUUCGUAGCUCUACACCUUCUUGGUUAGUUGGGGGCCCACGUGUCACUGUAAACGAAAUUUCAUACUUUAAUUAUCUUUAUUACUAUAUGAAUAAAUUUAUUUUACUCUUACGCUACAAAAGUUAUUUUAGGAAGACUUUGAAAAUAUUGUGUUUUAAGAAAAUAGAAUAUUUUAUUUAAUGUUUUUAUUAUAUUCAAAUAGCUAUAAUUUUACUUUAAACGAAUGUUUUAGACUUCAAAAUUUAAUUUAAAUCAUGAAAUAUGUGUUUCCACUUACAUAUUACAUUUUUUCGGAUUUCGAAAUUUCAAAAAAAAAAUGACGAAAAUGCCCCAGUGAGCUAGAAAAUAAUAUUUUUAUUGUUUUGAGUUGGAAACAACUUAUGAUUUCUUGAAAUGCGAGAUUUAAUAACUGUCGCUCACCGGGGAGAUGCGGAAGUUGAUGCUAAGCCUUGCGGGGUUUCGAUCGGCAUUCGGGGUAAUGAGUGCUUAUCGGGACGUCGCGGCGGUUGUCACGGGCCCGAUGGGAGUUCCGGGUCGUGACAAUUAGAUUGGUAUCAGAGCAUGGUUUAAAGAUCAAAGAUUUUGAUUUUAAAGCUUUGGAUUUCAAAGUUUUUGAUUUUAAAGUUGUUUUAAGAAAUCCACACUGACACUGCGUGGCCCAAGUUAAGUUAAGUUAAGUAAGUCAAGUUAAGUUAGGUUAUAUCGAGUUAGUUGCAUAUAGAAUUUAAAGUCAUCUAAGUCUAUUCCAUUUCUUAUUGUAGAGUACCAUGCCUCCUCGACGUGGGCGUCCACCUCUCUAUAGGUCAGUAGGGAGGGGAAGAGGCCGUGCUAGACUUAGUCAGCCAGAUCCCGUGGAAAGGGAGUCUGCUGCACCUACUUUUCGAGCAGCACCUGCUGUUGAGCCUACUGAGAUUCCUCCACCUCCUCCACCACCUACUGCUACUCCUGGUGUUCAUGCCAUGUCUCUUGAGGCAGUCCAGGCAUUAGCAGCUUUUCUUAAUGUCAUUAUGGGCCAAGCUCAAGCUGGUCGAGUCCCUCAUACUGUUCCCCCAGCAGUAUCUCCAGUGCCACCACCACCACCUCUUGUUCCACCACCAGUGCCAGAUGUCUCCAUUUCCAAAAAGCUUAAGGAAGCUAGGCAGCUGGGUUGCACUUCUUUUGUUGGUGAUUUGGAUGCAACCGCAGCUAAAGAUUGGAUUACUCAGGUAACGGAGACAUUUGUGGAUAUGAAAUUGGAUGAUGAUAUGAAGUUAAUGGUGGCCACAAGAUUACUAGAGAAGAGGGCUCGUACAUGGUGGAGCUCGGUAAAAUCACGUUCCAUUACUUCGUUGACUUGGAUAGACUUCCUACAAGAAUUCGACGGUCAAUACUACACCUACUUUCAUCAAAAAGAGAAGAAGAGAGAAUUCCUAAGUUUACAACAAGGGAAUUUAACCAUAGAAGAGUACGAGGCUCGUUUUAACGAGCUGAUGUCAUAUGUGCCAGACCUGGUGAAGUCUGAGCAAGAUCAAGCUAGUUAUUUUGAAGAAGGGCUCCGUAACGAGAUCAGAGAGAGGAUGACUGUGACAGGCCGGGAGCCUCAUAAAGAAGUUGUACAGAUGGCUUUAAGGGCCGAAAAACUCACGAAUGAAAAUCGGAGAAUGCGAGCUGAGUUUGCAAAGAGGAGAAACCCGAAUGUAUCCUCUAGUCAACUGCCCAAAAGAGGUAAGGACACAUUUGCUUCUGAGAGUACUGUUUCUGUUCCGGUGAUAUCUCCUCGACCCCCACUUUCACAGUUACAGCAGAGACCUCCGAGAUUUAACAGGUCUGGGAUGAGUAGUACUUCCGAGAAGAGUUUUGGAGGUUUAAAUAAAUGCGAAAAAUGUGGGAGAUAUCAUGUUGGGGAGUGUUGGGGCAUAAGAUGCUUUCAUUGUGACCAGCCGGGCCACAUUAGGAGUGACUGCCCACAGUUAGGACGGGCUACAGUAGCUGCUCCAUCCCCACUAACUCAUACGGAUAUGCAGAGGAGAGAUUCCUCUGGAGUACACCCGAGGCAGGGGGUAACUGUACGAUCUGAAAUGGGUAGCAACACCCCAGCACAACCACCUUUGAGGCCAUUGACUCGUUCUUCAACAAGAGUUUUCGCUGUAACGGAAGAUGAAGCACGAGUCCGAUCUGGAGAAAGUGAGUGAAAAGUUAGACGAAGGUGUAAAAUAGUGAUAGGGGAUGUAAAUACCAAGUGAUGGACGUGUAAAUAAAGGUUUCAAGAAUAAUAUAGUAAAUGAGUUCAUAUGGAAUAUGGUUGUAAGAAUUUCUUACUAUAUUGUGGAAAUUAGAACUCAAAAAUACUUGAGGUAUACAAAGUUCAAAUGAACUUAAAUCUUAAGCAAUAAAUUGAUGUCGAAAUACAAGAAGGAUACAAAGCAAUAUAGAGGCACGAAAGAUGAUUAAGGACAAAGGGAUGACUCUGAGGAAUUAUGAUACUGCAUCGUAUGCGAUGAUUAAAUCAAGAUAGAUCUUGGAUGCAUAAAUGGGAUUAUAAAGCAUAUACACAUAUGUGGGGUUGAUAUUGUGAUUAACUAAAAUAAAGAAUGAUUUUUAGUGAAUUAAGAUUCCCUAUAAAGGAGAUAACAGGAGAAGUUGAGCAUCGAAUAAAAGAUAAUACCCCGCCUUUUCUUUGAGUUAAUAAGUGAAAUUUUGAGGACAAAAUUUUAUUUUAAGGGGGGUAGUGUUGUCAAACCCUGCUUUGUAAAAUAAUUAUAAUAUCAUUCACAUGCUCGAUAGAAUGUUUGUAUAUUUAGGAAGUUCGAGAAAUCGUUAAAAGACGAUAUUGCCCCUAAUGGUAUCAUUAAGUCGAUUAAGCCUCGAACUAGUUCAAAUAGGAAUUUUAAGGUGAAAUUAAGAGUUUCACAGUUCAGGGAUGACUCAAAAUGGUAAUUAGGAGUUCGAGGAUCAAUUCGGAGUCAAAUUGAAAUUUUCACUAUAUAGGGGUAAAAUUAUAAUUUUUCCAUCUGCGGACAAAAUUUGAGAUUUUGAGAGAAUUUUGAUCACAUUUGACAAAUUGGGGAAUGAUAUGAGUAUAAGGGAUAAAAAAUAUGUCUAUGGGCAAUUUUUCAGUUUUUGGGGCAAAAAUGUAAUUUUUGAUUUUUACGGGGGCAAAAGUGUAAAUAUCAAAAAUUACUUCACCAAGACUUUGGAUAAGUUUGAGAAUUUUAUCUAAGUUAUGGAUAUUUUAAGGAAUAAUGUGUGGUGGAGAUUUAAAGCUUAAAAGAUAAGAAUUUAAAAAAUGGACCAAUAAUGUAGUGACAUGUGGCAAGUUUAGAUUAUUAUAUUAUUUAACUAUAAAAAUCAGCCCACACCACCAUUUUCUCUUCAUUAUGGCCGGCCAUAGCAAGAAAACAAAGGGGAAAAGAAAAACAAAAACCUAGGGGGAGAAAUUCAAGGAAAAAUUGGUGAAAAUUCAAGGAAACAAGUGACCAAAGGUAAAAUUUCUUGAUUUUGACUUGUGCUUUACCUUUCCCAUGCAUUUCCCAUCAUUUUCCAUGGUUGAAUCAUGUGAUUUGAGGAUGAAUUCAAUUCUGGAAAAAUGGGUUAGGAGAGAGAAACUUGUUAGAUUAAUUUGAUUUUAAGUUAUGUUAGUGUUUUAAGUUAGUUUAGCAUAUUUAGGAACAAAACAACAAGAAAAGAAUUUAUUUUCCUCCAUUACCAUUAUUGGCUGAAUUUUCUAGGGGAAUAUUGGCUGAUGAUCUUGAUGUUUAUUUGAGGAAUUAUGAUGAAUAAUGAUGAAUUAUGAGUCUAGAAAAAUAAUGGAAAUUUUCGGAGCAAAAAUAUGAAUUUUUACCCAUUAGGGGUAUUUUCGUAAUUUGCUAUCAGGACUGAUAAUUUGCACCACACCGAGGGACAUUAAGUCAAUUUGGGUGCAAUUGAGGUAUAGAAACUGAAAAAAAUUAAUUUGAGAUUAAAUUGGACGCGUUAGUAAUUUAAUCGGGUAAUAGGCCGAAUUAGGUCAGCACCGCAUUUAAGCGGUAGUCGGAUAAGUUGCAUGUCAUAUCAUGCAUAUAUACCGAGCCUGAAUUGAUUUUAUAAUGGUCAAGCAUUGAUGUGGUGAAUUAUGUAUUGUACAUUGUGGAUAGGUGGUGAGCAAAUUACACUGGUAAAAGUACCAAAAUUGUGCUUGAAGACUGGGAUUAGGAGUACAUCGACUCCUAGAACUGUGAGUGGACAAUUUAUCGUCUUAAAUAUCUAGAGUAAUUAUACUUGUUUGAUGCUUUUAUUGAAUGGUGAAUUUAAAUUAUAAAAUAUUAUGUUUUCCAAUUAAAAUGUUUUUUAAUAAAAAUGAGAUUUAUACUGGUUUUGAAAUCAAAUAUUGUUUUGGGAAAAUUGAGUAUAUGGAGACUGUGUUGAAAUUUAUGAUUUUAUAUGUUAUUGAAAUUGGGGCUUAUGACACUAUGGUAGCAUGAUGGCUAAAUUUUUGGGGUUGGCAUGAAAUAUAUGAACAAUUUUGGAUUGGUCUCGGUAGACUGGAUUACAUUUUAUUCGCCAUAUUAUGCUACUGGAAUUUUUAUGGGUCUGGUGGUAUAUUAAACGGUCACUGCAGUGGUGGGGGUUUCCGUGGACUGCCUAUGAGAGGGGCACGGUAACUCAAUUAUAUACUUACCUCCGGGGGGAGAUGUUGGGUGAAGUAUCUCCUGAGGUAUGAUUUGAGUGCACCUCACGUUCGGGCCACCACGUGAGAGUGAGACUCAGCCAACGCCAAGGAACGGCUGUGUGUCAGAUGUGAAAACAUGUUUAUGGGUAUGGGUCAUUGAACAGCCUUGGCGGUCUCAGUGGGAUACCUUGACGAAGGUACCCGCGAGAAUGAUAUUGGCAGGGGCCAAGUUUAAAAAAAUUCAUAAGUCGGGGAAAUUUUGAUGAAAAGAAAUUAUUUGGUAUAGAUUGAAACGAAUUUUGUGUUAUGAACAUUAUUGAGAUAUAACGUUUUUAUAUUGUCUCCAUCUACUCGGCUUUAGAUGCUUUUGAUGGUAAUUGUUUACUCACUGGGAUUAUUUAAUCUCACCCCUCUUCCUAUCCAUUUUUCAGGCUCAGGACAGUUUGUUGAUAGUUGAUUAAGACGAGAAUUAAUCUCGGAGUUGCAUCAUAGGAAGUAAGGGUUCGUAGCUCUACACCUUCUUGGUUAGUUGGGGGCCCACGUGUCACUGUAAACGAAAUUUCAUACUUUAAUUAUCUUUAUUACUAUAUGAAUAAAUUUAUUUUACUCUUACGCUACAAAAGUUAUUUUAGGAAGACUUUGAAAAUAUUGUGUUUUAAGAAAAUAGAAUAUUUUAUUUAAUGUUUUUAUUAUAUUCAAAUAGCUAUAAUUUUACUUUAAACGAAUGUUUUAGACUUCAAAAUUUAAUUUAAAUCAUGAAAUAUGUGUUUCCACUUACAUAUUACAUUUUUUCGGAUUUCGAAAUUUCAAAAAAAAAAUGACGAAAAUGCCCCAGUGAGCUAGAAAAUAAUAUUUUUAUUGUUUUGAGUUGGAAACAACUUAUGAUUUCUUGAAAUGUGAGAUUUAAUAACUGUCGCUCAUCGGGGAGAUGCGGAAGUUGAUGCUAAGCCUUGCGGGGUUUCGAUCGGCAUUCGGGGUAAUAAAUGCUUAUCGGGACGUCGCGGCGGUUGUCACGGGCCCGAUGGGAGUUCCGGGUCGUGACAAAAACGUUCUCUUAGUCCUUUGAACCUUCCUGUGUUACCAACUACUCGUGAAUUUAGCGCUGAUGCUAAAAAACAUGCUAAGCAAAUCAAGAAACUUCAUGAAGAAGUUCAAGAAAAGAUUAUUUAUCAAAAUACCAACUACCAAAAGCAAGCCAAUAAUUACAAAAAGCUAGUUAGUUUAAAAAAGAGACUUAGUAUGGAUUCACUAAGGAAAUAACGUUUUCCUAAGUCAUAGGUAAAAUUAUCUCCUCAAGCUAAUAGACCAUUUCAAGUCUUGAAAUGUAUUAAUGAGAAUGCUUACAAGAUUAAACUUCCUAGGGAUUAUGAAGUUUCUUAUACUUUCAACAUAAAUGAUCUCUCUCUUUACUAUGGAAACACGAAAAAGACAUGGAUCUUGAAAACAAUUUUUCUUCAACUUAAAGAGGAUGACACAUGAGUAUAUUAUUAUUUAGGUUUCCAUAGGAAUUAUAGGUAUAAUAGAAUUCCUUUUCUUUAAAUUUACUUGUAAUAGGGUUUUAGGCUAGUUAUGUUCUAUUUAGGAAUAGAACACCUAUUUUAUUUAAAUCUCUUGUUAACUACUCUAGUUGUACUUGACAACCUGAAGUAGAGUUUUAUUAGGGCGUGGGCCUAUAAUGUUAUAAAUAGAACAUGGGCCUAUAAUACUAUAAAUAGGACCCUGAAGCUUAAUUAUUAUUCACAUUGAAGUUGAGAAUUAAUAAAGAAUAUUUUCUUUAAUAAGCAAAAGUGCUUAUUUUCUCGAAGCUCUUUUCAAAAGAGUAAGAGGUUGUAGUAUUUUUGGCUUAGCAAAACAAAAUGGGAUUUUGGCUAUUUUUUCACCUUAGUGAGGUUUUCAAUCUUACCAAGAUUGGUGAUUCACAUUAGUGAAUGUCUUUCACAACGCCCAAGUGUCUUCACAAUGCCGUAGUGUCAAAAUGGUUGUCCUUUCAUAAGAUAAUUGUUAGAGCAAUUAAUACCUUUAUCCAAAGAUUAUGUCUUGUGACAUGUAAAGGUUUGUUUACAACAUAGAGAUGCCUUAAUGAAAGGGUUGUGUCUUUAGAAAAAUACAUUUACAAGUUUAUAUAAAGGACUUGCUAGCAACCAUUUUGCCACAUAACAACACAACAAAAAGAAAGGCAAGAGUAGAAAAACAAGAGUAAGAAAAGUGUUAUGUUCUAAAUAAAAUUCAAAUAAAGAUAUAAACACUUUAUGUUACCACCGUUUGCCAAAAGUGUCCAAAUUCCUUAUAAUCUACUUGUUACAGAAAAUAGGCUCUAAGGCCAAACAACUUUGCAAUCCUUAGGUAUGUCUAAUGAUUUAACCACAUAAGCGCAAGAUAAAUUUAGAUGUUAGCUUCAUUUUAUACUUAAGGCUAUUCACAUAAUUCCCCUUUUGCAUACCCAGUAGUAGGGGCGAAAUAAGUCUAAAGGAUAAUGUCUAUAAAGGCACGUUUUGAAGUCAAUUUUACCAGUUUCUUUAAAUUUCAACUAAACUCCAUUUGCAUCAACAAUUUUAAGACUUAUUUUCAUCUGAUUGGAAUUCAACAAAAUGAAUUCCUUAAAAAUGAUGGCUACCAACAUUGUGAAGCUAGAUUGCUUUGAAGGAGGAAAAUUUAUUUUGUUGGUUAAAGUUGGAUCGAUUUGAUGUUGACAAGGAAAAUGGUUUUUCAUCAAAUUACAAGAUAAGUUUUUUUUCCUUGUUUUGUAUGCAUGAUAUUAUAUGUGACAUGUAUGGUACACGCAUGUUGGUUGGAAAGAAGUAUUACUCUUAAUAGCUUUAAGUUAUAUGAUCUUAACAUGGAUAAAGCUAUUAUUCUGUCUUUUAUAAUUGAUAAACUUUCCUUUCAUGGAAAAACUCUAAGAAAAGUCAAAAGUAGAAGAAAAAGGAGAUAUCUCUCAAAGACCUCAAUAAUCACCUUUGAAUAGAAAAAGAUUAUUGCAAAUAAGAUGAAGUCAAUCAAGAUAAGAAAGAUAAAGAUCUUAAUGUAAAAAUGUUGAGCUGACAAAGGUCCAUUGAUAGAAAACAAACCAUUUAACAAGACACAAGGUAUGAGCAUGUGGCACUUCUAUUAUGUAUUAAGGUAUAAUGUUACUAAUAUAUAAAUGAAACAUCUUGUUAUAUGGUGCAUUCUUAUUUUACCAUCGAAUGUAUAAUAAUGCAAAAUAGAUAUUGAUAUAUUUUAUAUUGCAUUGGUGAAAUCCCACCCCAAAAUAAAAUGUUAAGUUAAAAAUUCUUAGGUGAGCAUGUAUGUUUCAUGUUAUGAGCUCUUAAACUAAGUUUUAAACUUGGAAAAGUUUGUGUUUUGAGACACUAAUGUUGGUCCCAUUGGAAUGCUAGAGGGGGGUGAAUGGCACUAAAAAAUUUUCUGUUCAGCCCUCUAGAACUUGUAAAGCUCUUAAUCAAUUAAAUAAAGGGAAGGACUUGAACUUGUUAGAAUUGAAAGGCACCAAUUAAUGAAGGGUAAAGAGAAGUGGACGGUGUAAAAAUAUUUAUAGUAGUUCAGUCUCUUUGACCUACAUCCACUACUUUGAUCUCCCAAUCAAGGAUUUUUAACCUUAACUUCACUAUACUAAUGGAAUUAACGGUUUCCACCAAGCUUUUACAAGGUAAACUUCUAACCCAAGCUCUAAUCUCUUACAACAAUCUUUAGAGUGCUUCCUGCACUCUACUUUCCCAAGAAAGAGAAAAAAAUGAAGUACAACUAUGACACUUUACAAAUAUGGAAAUAUUACAACUAAGCUCAAAAACUUUUUCUGGUUUUAGAAUGAAGAACAAGUGUUUUUGGUGAAUGAUGUUUGGUUUUUUGCUCAAAAUGGCUCUUUUCUCUUCAAAUAUGUUGUCUUUGACCAUUUGAGCUUCCUUGUAUACCUAAGGAGUUAGAUUUUUCUUUUGGAGACAGUUUCAAGUUGUUAGAAACAACUUUAAUGUACUUCUAGUCGUUAUUUUGUCCUCUAGUAUUUAAAUUCAAAAAGACAGACAGACUUCGGCUAAUCGAUUAUAGGCAAAUCUAAUCGAUUAUAGCUUUUCUACCUUGCAUUGUCCUGUUGUUGUGUUCUCUGCUUUAACUGAUUACAGAAGGCUCUAACCGAUUAAGAGUUCUCUAUUUUCAGACUUCUCUUCUUCAGUAGUCUUCCUCUAACUAGUUAUGGCAGGCAUUAAUCGAUUACAAACUUUUUGUUUUCACUUCUCUACACAGUAAUCUUCCUCUAAUUGGUUAACUCAUCCCUUAAUUGAUUGAAGUUAUGCUUCCUUUAACCAUAACCGAUUGAAAUUAGCUUUAAUCAACUAGAAAUUAUUCGAAUUUUGAACUUCUCCAUUUUGGCUUCCUUCAACGGUCAACUAUAUUUUCAAACUUGUGUUUGGUGCUUGAAGAGACUAGGACUUUGUGCUCUAACUGACUAACCAGACCUCUUAAUCAAUUACCAUAUUUCUAUUUUGCUUUAGCUUAUCACAUAGCCAUGACUUAACUAAUUAUAGUCCCUUGAUAAUCAAUUACUAAGGUUUUAUUUUUGUACAUCACUUGCUCUUUUUCUUUUAAUUGAUUAACUCUUCAUUAAACUUAGAAAGCUCUUUUAGUUGCCUUUAAUUAACAACUUAAUAGGGGUAUUAAAUUAAAUCCUACACACUUAAAUAAUAAGAUUAGACAUUAAUGAAUGAAGAAUGUUUUGCUAUCAUAAAAAAUAUAUGGAGUCAACAACUAAAAUGGUUUGCAAAGUUUAGUGGGAAAAGAGUCCAAAUGGACAAGUUUUAAAAGUUGUUUUUUGUUACUAAAGUCUAUCUAUCGAUAAAUGUUUUUAGCCUAUUAAUGGAUAGAUAUUUUUCAUUUAUCAAUAGAUACAAUCCAAACAAACGUUUUUGAAGGAAAUUGAAGAACAUCUAUCGAUAGAUUGACCUAUUUAUCAAUAGAUGAGACAAAUCUAUCGAUAGAUAGCAACUCGAGAGCUUUUAAAUAAACUUGUCAACCAUUUAUCGAUAAAUGACCUCAAUCAAUCAAUAAAUGACGUUGUUUUCUAAAAAAUAAAAAGGUAAAAAUGUAUUUUCAUGCUCCAAACUAUAAAUACCUCACAUUUUAUUAAGGCUUUUAGUUCUCAACCGAUUUUGAAAGGUAUUCUCUCAACUUUAAGACCCUCUCAAACUAAUUUCAACCCAAAACACCAUUUUUGAAAGAUUUGCAUUUGGUUUGAGUUUUAAAAGCAAAUCUGAUAUUUUUCACUCUUAAAAUCUUUAAAUCUUGGGUUUUAAACUCUAAAAAUAUUGUGUAUUAUUCCAAAUUUACUUAUUUUUACAAACUAAAGGAUUUGGAUGGAUUCAUCCUUGUUUAAAGCUCACCUAAGGUAAAGAUGAUGGAUUUAUGAAUUUUCUACACAAAAGUAAUUAUAGAACAAUGAACUUAAGCUGGGAAAUUAGUUUUAGAAGAAUCCGAAUAGUUUCAAAAGAACUUACAAUUCUUAGCACUCAAUUCCUAAACUGAUUAUUAAUGAUAAUGGUUAUUGAAUGUUUAGGAAUUAUCAAAACUUUAAAGCAGCUGUUGGAGUAGAUUUGUGCUUGAUUACAAAGGUCAACUUUUUGAGGUGAAUGGGUACACCACUUUCAAAACUAUUUGAGUAUGUAAAGUCGAAAACAUGGUUGAAUGAUUUGAUGGAUUAUUGAUGAGCAUGGUUUCCAUAACAAAUAUGUUUGUGGAUGAGACAACAUUUUGGAAAUGGCUUUCAACACUAUAAGUAAAUAUCCUACUAUGUGGUAGUUUUCAAUAAAAGGAGACAAGCCCUUUUAAUAUUUUGAACAUUUCUCUCAAUUACUCUCGCCUCCGGGCUAGUGUGGGUACGAGAUAAUUAGUUGAGAAAGUGAUUGUAGAUGAUUAAAAUGCUUUUACAUGUGAGUAUUGUGAAUGUGGAUUGAAAAGGUCUCCACUUUUCCAUUAUUUAUGUGCUUGACAUGAUUGGCUAUUGAAACUUAAUCUUGGUAUGAUCUUGUACAGAAUUUUGAUUGUGUUGUGAUUGGCUCUAGUCCCUGUAUGGGGGUAAGAAUACAACAAGGUUUGGUUGGGCAUCAUACCACUUUUCCCUCCUCUUUAUGAGUUUUGGUAUAGGGGUAAUAAUACCACAAGGUUAAGCUUGGUCAAUGUGUCACCUUUUCCCCUUUUUGUAUAUUGGCUCUAGUCCCGAUGUAAAGUUAAGAAAACCACAGGAUUAAGUUGGGCAUCGUACCACUUUUUCCCUUUUCGUGAAUCCCAGUGUAGGGGUAAAAAUACUAUAAAGACAAGUUAGGUGAAAGUACCCAUUCUCCCCUUAAUUUGCUGAUGGCAUGUAUUGAUGUGUUAUUUGUAUAUUGAAUAUUGUGACGUCUAUGAUUGGCAAUUAAUCAUUAUUGUGUCUAUCUAGAAAUGAUGAGACAAUUUGUUGAAUGAAUGAUACAUUCUUGAUUUGAAUGUUUGAUGCUGAAUUUGAACGUUGAGGAUUACUAUCCAUUACCUUCUUGCAUAUGUUUUGUAAGUCAAGCUAUAUAUCUUAAUUCCUUUUUAUGCAAAUUUUAGUUUUAAAUGCAUUUAUGGAAAUGUUCAAAUGAAAUUAUUGUCAUUGGAAUGAUUUAUACGAAUAUCAUGUGUUUUUGCAAAGUAUGGUUAUUGUAAAAACUCUCCCCUUUAGCUUAUCCCCUUCUUUGUAUCUACUCACGGAGUCUUUGUUACUCCCACAUUAUAUUCCUUAUUUUAUUUCAAAUCAGUAGUGUGAGACCUUGACCUUUAUAGACUCGUAGAUAGAAGUAGAUGUGAUAUUCCUGAUCAAGGGUAAUUUCGUCAUUUUCUUAGUAAGCCCCUAAAAGUAAGAUUUUAAAUAAUAUUAUGACCUAAGUAGGCCUAAGGCAUAAAUGGAUGAUUAAAUAAGGGUAAAAUGACGAAGGAAAUAAAAAUGAUGAUGAUUUCCACGGUAGGGGCAAAAUGGUCAUUUUUCACCUCAUAUCAAAAUUUUAAAGUUUUCGAGAACUCGAGCAUUUCUAGACCAUUAUGGACCUUGUCCCAAUGUCAAAAGAGUAAAAAGAUUGCAUAAAGGAUUGGAGGAGAACAAGUUAACUUGUAAGGGUAUUUUGGUAAUUUAAGUGGAGUGGAUAAGCUUGGGUUAUAAAUAUCUCUUUCUUCCAACAGCUUCUUCUCCCAUUUUCAAGCAGGUUAUUCUUUUUCUUCCUUCUUCUCUUUCACGUUGCUUCCAACCUCCAAGGAAGCUUGAUAUGAACCUCCAUAACCUCCCUCAAAAUAGCUCCACUUUUCAUGCUUUUGGUGUACCUUUUCAUAAACCCUUGUGCUCUUCCACUCUCUCUCUUUAAAACCCUUGAAGAAAAUCUUAUUUCCAUACUCUCUCUUUAGUUAGGUGUUUUAGAAAGAGAAAGAGCAAGCUUCAAUAAUAGCUUGAAAGUUUUUGGAAAGAAUUUCAAAUACAAAGCUACCAAGGUGAGUAGUGAACUAGAAUUGAUUUUUAGUGUUGAAAAUUAUUAGUGUUUAGACUUAUGGGUGUUUUGGUAGUUGAGGUUGUUCAUUCACUUUAGAGUGAUUACUAUAGUGAACAUAGAUAGCCACUUAAAUGGCAAUUGGAAGCUAGCUAAGAGAAAGCUUUUAGAAUUUAUAAGUUUGUGAAUUGACUUAAUGGUGAUGCUAAUGUGAUAAUAGGUUCCAACGACGCCCCAUCGGCCCAUUUGGACCAUUAGAGAAGUAGAGUCGACUAAAGGUUCAACAAAAUACCGGUGAGUGGACUUGCAUUUCAAACUUGUUUUGGGAAUGUGAAUGUAUUUGCACAAGAUAUUUGAAUGGUUUUAUCCAACUUUUCUUCAAAAAUGUGUGCCAGGGAACAAGUCUUGAUUAAAUGUUUUUUAUAUUGUGAAAUGUGAGAUGUGUAUAAGGAUGAAUCCAUGUAUUUUAUAUUAUGUUGGUAUGUAUUAUAUAUCUUAUGAAUAUGUGUUGUGUAUCGAUGAAUGAUGUUGGGUGAUGAUGAUAAAGUGUGCGAGUAGGGAGUGCACACAUGAUGAUGAUGGAGUGUGCGAGUAGGGAGUGCACACGUGAUGAUGACAGAGUGUGCAAGUAGGGAGUGCACACAUGAUGACGAUGUAUGUAUAUGUAAAUGUGUGUGUUAUAGAAAAUUCAUGAAUAUGGUUUAUGGAUGAAAUGCAUGUGAAAUCUUGCAUGUUGAACUUUGAAAAUUUCUAGGCAUGUUUAAGUAAAGCUUGUCUUUCCAGCUAAAUGGCCUAUCCUUAAGAGAAUCAAAAGCUAUUGUUUGUGUCCUAUUCUCACUGCAACGAGAUUCAUUCUCGCUGCAGCGAAAAACUCUCGGGUUUGGAGGGUUACAUUGGUUUGAUUCUCAUUAUAAUGAGAAUGCAUUUUCACUGCAUCGAGAAAGUCGUUGAAGCUCUUCGCUGUAGUGAGAUUUAUUCUCGCUACAGCGAGAAACAUUCUGUUUCUGCUGCCUGUAACUCGCUGCAGCGAGAAACUUUCUGUUUGGCAGCACAAAUUUCGUUGCAGCGAGAAUCUGUAUUGCUUAUCAUCUUGUUCCAUUGCUGCCCUAUUUCCCAUUUUCUUGGCACCAUAGUUGAGUGUGGACUUCCAAAUUUAGGAAUUUAUUUAAUAAAGUUUGAAAUAAGGAGGUUUGUUGACAAACCCUCGUUCCCUGAUAAUUUGAGCCCAAAUUUCGCUGCAACAAAAAUUCAUUCUUGCUGUAGCUACGCUGCAGCGAGAAUACCUUUCCACUGCAGCGAGGACUCGUAGUCUUACUUGACUUGACGUGCUUGAAUGCUAAUAGAGUUUUCACUCUUCAAAUCCUUUGUUGUGCAUGGAACUGUUAUCAUCAAGUGAUUAACUCAUUAAGGGUUUAAUGAGGGGUUUUAUUAAAACUAAACUAAAUUGCAUUGUCUUGAAAAUAAAUGCAUCAUGACUUCUUUAAACUUUCCUUAUUGUUCGCUUGUUCCCUUCUUGUUCACUCACUGGGUUUAUACUCACCGUUUUCAACUUCAUGUUUUCAGAUCAAGAAUCAAGCGGUAGCUAGGUCAAGGUGUCCUUGUAGAUUCGUAUCUUUGGUAGGUAUCAAUGGCAUUCAGUAGCUACACCUUCACUGUGGUCACUCCGCUAGAAGCCUAGAGUCAUUUUGUUGUAAAUAUGUACAGGUGAUGUAAAUUAUUAAAUUGCACGUUUAGACAAUAUAUGUACAUUUUGAUUGGUAGGCCACUAUGAGUUGGAAAUGCUUAGUAUUAUUUUGAUUCAAAGUUAUGAAAUGUAACUUGGUAACUUUUGAUGGAAUGAUGAACAGGUCACAUUAAUAAGCUUGCUUGGGCUUAGUGGAUUACGUCCAUUGGGCCCAUGCGUCGGUCAUGGCACGAAAUUUGGGUCGUGACAAGUAGCUUGCUUGACUUGGCAACUCGUGGAGUAGUAGCCUAGCUCAUCUGUGGUAGGUGUGGUAGAGCCUUCCUUUUAGCCCUCCAAUGUUGUCACACUCCGCAGUGUGUCAAGUUGAGUCAUUUAAUUAUUAUGUCGAUAUUGAACUCGAUUAUGUAAAUAAUGUUGAUAUACUUGUUUAUGUUUCCACACAUUGUAUUGAGCCUCGGAUAUGGGUGCAUGAGAUGAAUAAGACUAUGGUGGAUGAUCUAAAGCAAUAUAAGCACAUAAUGCGUGCCGAACCAUAAUUAUUUUUAAAUAUGUGAAUAUUUAUAUGAAUUAUGAUUAAAACCACACCUUAAGUUGAGAGGUUCUGUAAUAUUGUGUCCUUGAUGAAUUCAAUGCAUAUUCAUGAUUGUGAAUGGAAAUGUUAUGCAUGCAAUGGAUGACUAGCUCAUGCAUUAUUGAUUUAGGGUUACUUGGGCACAGUGGGCUAUACCCACGUGAUCCAUGCACCGAUCAUGAUCCCUCUAAGAAAUGGGAUGUGGCAACAUUCUUAUUGUGUAAUAAAAGUAAAAUGAUACUUAUGUGAACAUAUAUCUUAAUUUGUUAAUUUGACAUUCCGAUUGAACAGUUUAGGUACAAUGGUGUCAAUUGAUAAAGAAAGGAAUGUGUGUAAGCUUGUUAAGUCUUUGUAUGGAUUAAAACAAGCACCUAUACAAUGGCAUCAAAAGUUUAAUGAUGUUGUGAUAGCUAAUGGCUACAAAAUCAAUUAAUCUGACAAAUGUGUUUAUAGUAAGUUCUAUAAUAGUAAAGGUGUUAUCAUUUGUCUAUAUGUGGAUUACAUGUUAAACAAGUGGAGGACACAAAAAGGUUCCAGUCAAAGAAUUUUGACAUGAAAGAUAUGAGUGAGUAGGAAGUUAUUCUUGGUAUAAGAAUAAUAAGAGACAAUGAUGUCAUAACAUUAUAUCAAUUUCAUUACAUUUAAAAGACUGUAAUGAAGUAUGGUAAGUCAAAUUCUACGCCUAAGCUUAUAGCCAACAAAGACUAGUCAUAUAAUACCCAACAAAGACUAGUUUAAUCAAGGCUAGUACCCAACAAAGACAAGCCAAUAGCAUAAGUAGAAUAUGUAAGGUAUUUGGAUGUCUAAUGUACGCUAUGGUUUGUACAAAACCAAACAUUGCUUUUACGGUUAGGAUGCUAAGUCGAUUUACAAGUAAUCCAAUUAAAGAUCAUUGGCAUGUUGUUCAUAUAAUUCUAACGUACUUAAAGAGUAUGAUGAAUUAUAUCAUUUGUUACUCAAUUUUUCCCUAGUUAGAACUCAAAUAAAACAAAUUAUACCUUUAUUGUAGGUUGGAUUUUUGUAAUUGGUGAGGGUACUAUUUCGUAGGGUUCUAAAAUAAUCAUGUCAAGCAGAUUCCACCAUGGCGACAAAAUGUGUAGCCUUAGCAUCUACUACUCAAGAUGCAGAAUGGUUAACAAAUUUACUCUAUGAAAUUCCAUUAUGGCCUAAACCAAUGUCAUCAAUCUUGAUGCAUUGUGAAAAUGAAGCAACAGUGUCAAGAGAAUAUAGUCAAAUGUGUAAUGGAAAGAAUAGAUACAUUGGACUUCAACAUAAUAUUGUAAGACAACGUAUAUUAGUGAUGGUAUAAUCACUAUAAGUUAUGUAAGGUCUAGUGAAAAUUUGACGGAUCCAUUGACUAAAGGAUUUGUUAUUAAAGAUGUCAAGAAGAAUGGGUCUCAAGCCUAUCAACUAAAUCAUCAAUAGUGGGAGCUUAACUCAAGACUUAUGGUUGACUUGUAAGUCUUGAGUAUUGACCAUUUCACCGCAUGGAUGAUUGCAAGCAUUGAUUUAUUUUUUCCAUCCCAAGGUAUAAAGUGUUUGGUUCCUUUCAAGAAAGAUGGAUGUUAAGCCUAUCAACUAAAUCACCAAUGGUAAAAGCUCAACUUAACGCUUAUGGCUGACUUGCAAGUCUUGAGCAUUGACCAUUUCAUCACAUGGAUGAUUGCAAGCACUAAUUUAUUUUUUCCAUCCCAAGGUGUAAAAUGCUUAGUUCUCGUAAUAAGUAAAAGUAAGGUUGAACGAAAGUUCUUAAUAAACCUAUAACAUGUAUAUGUUGAAGUACUUUAAUUACGGGGUACUUUCGAUGGGGGCUACCUAUGCUAGUGAAAGUAUGGCCGCUUCUAAGAGUUAAAAGCUUGACUUUGACAACACUCAUGAAUCAAUGCAUAAUACAAAGCCAUAAACGUGUUGGCAAAACUUGACAUAAAAUGAGCUAAAAGCUUUUGUCUGAUUAAUGGCCCAACUAGUCAAUAAAGAAUCGAUAGUUCAAUGUUUAGCCAACUACUCAAUUUAGACAACAAUCAACCAUACUCACUAAGUAAAGGUUCAAAUCUGCAAGAUACCUUCAUUAAUGCACAAGAUCCUCAAAGUUGUUGGUAUGUGGAAAUUUUUUGAAAAUGGUGGGGGCUUAUUGGUGUAUUUUCAAAAUGAAAGGUUAUUUCUCUUCAUAUGAAAAGUUGUAAAUGAAAGUUAUAUCUUUCCACGUGAAAAGCUGUGACUAUUAGAAAGACAUAUUAAUUGAAAGGUUAUGUCACAUAGUGUGACUAUUGGAUUGGUGGUAGUUUUUCAUAUCAAAAGUAAUGUCUACUGAUAAAGUGACUUUUGAAAAAUCACCUCUAAAUCUAAAGAUUAUAAGACAACUGAAAAACACCACUACUCAAAAGUUAUAAUAUGAAAAGUUAUCUUUUCAUAUUAUUGCUAAAAGGUUAUGUCUUCUGGUAUGAAUGGUUGUCCUUUCAUAAGGUAAUUAUUGAAAUAAUACCUUUAUCCAAAGGUUCUAUCUUGUAAUAUAAAAGUGUGUGUUUAAGACAUAAAGGUGCCUUAAUGAAAGGGUUGUGUAUUUAAAAAAGAGACAUUUGCAAGUCUAUAUAAAAGACUUGCUUGCAACCAUUUUGACACGCAACAACAACACAACAAAAAGCAAGACAAAAGUAGAAAAACAGAUGUGAGAGAAGUGUAAUGCUCUAAAUAAAAAUUCAAAAAAAGACAUAAACAGUUUUAUGCAAGCACUAUUUACCAAAAUUGUCCAAAUUCCCUAUAAUAUAUUUGUUAUAAAAAGUAAACUCUAAGGCCAAACAACUUUACAACCCUUAAUUGUGUCUAGCGGUCUAAUAUCAUAAUUGCAAGACGAAUUUAGACAUUAGCUUCAUUGUAUCUCUAAGGCUAUUCACAUAAUUCCUCUUUUGCACACCAAGUGGUGGGAGUAACGUCUACAAAGGCACACCUUGAACUCAAUUUUGUUGGUUCCUUUGAAUUUUAACUAAACCUUAUUUGCAGUAACAAAAAUAAUUCUAUUGAGGUUGUAAUUUCAGUGUUGAAGACUUUUAUCUUCACUAUUUGUUUAUAUAGUGUAAAAGACAUGGUUACUAGAUGUUGAGAGUUUAAAAUAUAAAAACUCUCCAAUAGUAAAAACUAUAAACUCCUUAACUAAAGUUUUUGACUAAUCUCUUGAUUUUCGCUAUCGGAGAUCUUUUAACUUGAUUUGAUUGUCAUUAGAUUGAAUUGUAAUGAUUUAUGAAAGUAAUUUUUGUUUUUGUUGUAUAUGUUGGGAUCAAUCCCUCAUAUGAAUCAAUCCUUAAUAGGAAGUGAGUGAUCUCCUAGAUUCUAGCAAGUAUGAAUCGAUCUCUUAUCCUUUCAGGUCGAUCUUUACUAAGCAACAAAUGUUCUUUUGAUUUCUGCCUAGUAUGGAUUAAUCCCUUAUUCUUUGGAAUCGAUCCCUAGCAAAUAGUAAGUGAUCUCUUGGUUUCUGUCCAAUAUGGAUUGAUCUCUUAUCCUUUAGGAUGGAUCCAUGUAGCUUUCUAGCUAGCUUUUUAUUAUUGCUAAUGUUGUUUGCUAAAAAUGAUGAUAUUCUUGAUGUUGAUGUUUCUAAACUCCCUAGAAAACUGAUUAUGGGAAAAUGCCACAAUCCAAGUUUGGUUCGAAGGUGUGCAAAGGUUUGUCAUGGUAGUGCUUUGAUAAGAAUGUAUGUUGCUUGGAGAAAGGAUGGGACAAAUUUAAUAACCAAGGAAACUAGAGCAAACUUUUCUCUAAAAAAGUGAUAAUUUAUAUUGAUGUAUUUAGUUCUUGCAUGAAAAAAAAGGAUUAACUAUCAUGUGAAGUGCUAAAAUAUUUUCUUAAAAUAAAGUAGUCGGUUAUGCCAUUAUUUGUCCAAAGCCUUGUAAUAUGUAUGAAUUUUAGGUGAGUUAUACUAUAAUUAAAGCUAAAGCAUAGUAUUUUGCUUGUGUACACAAUCUUGUCACUAUUUAUCAUUUCUUAAAGCUCCACAAUAUAUAGUUUACUCUAAGACAUGUAGAAUCAAAAAUACAGACCUUCUGAUAAAAGGGCAUCUUCCCCAAUAUGCAUCACUGAAAGCAUACAACUCUAAAGAUUUAUGGGUGUCUUUUUCACUAAAUGUAUAUGGAAUUUGGAUUGGACACUGAAGGUUAUGCCUAGUUGACUAAAUGUUAAGUAUUUUAGGCCUUCUACGAUGCUUGUCUAUUGAUGCACGUCAUUAGGGGUUAAUUAGUAGUAGGGAUGAUUUUAGUGGGGAGUGGAAUGGAAAUGGGUUUAUAUUCUGUCAUUUGAUCUUUAUUAAGGAGUUCAGUAGUGUAUUUGGCUUGAUUUAGGAAGAAUCCUGGGAAAAAUGAACUUAAAUACCUAAGAAGUAAUGAAUUUGACCAAAGCAUUUCGUUGAGAAUUCAUUAUCUAGUUCUAGAAUAAAGUUAUCCAAUUGUGAAAAAAGUCUACCACUUAAGAUAAUAUUAUCAACAUAAACUAAUAGAAAGAUGGGUAGCAUUUGAGAAAUUUUUAACAAAAAAAAGAGAUGUGAGCGAAGUAUCCCUACCUCUUCGAGGCAUAGAGGUAUGUUACUUUAUAAGUUAGAUUUAAAAUUCGAGGACCAAAUUUCUAUAAGUUGAGGGGAAUGUGAAAACUCAACUUUUAUUGUCACGACCCAAACUCAGGGGGUCCAUGACCAACGCACAAGUAUGGUAGGGCAAGCCCACAAGACCCGAGCAAGCCUCAAAAUUUCAAAUCACAUAACACAUAGCCAAAGGAUUUCAUAACCAAAUAUUCAUAAAUAAAAUUUGAAUUCAAAUAUAAAACAUUUUCUUUGGCGCAUGAUUUAUACAUAAUAUUCAUGAAGCCACAUAUUGACCGUCAAAGCAGAUACGUACUUAACAACCCUUAAUAGAAAUUCAAAUGGCACAUCAUGCCUACAUACACAACUAAACUAAAUACAGAGUAAAAGCUCAUGAUAGACUCAACAGAAUGGGCGCAUCAGGUGGGGACCUACCGGAUGCCAAAAUCGGUCUAUCACUAGACAACCUUUGCCACGUAGUCUUGUCACCUAUUUAUCUACACAUGGUACAACAAAUGAAUAAGUCAUCUAAUACUCAAAGAGAGGUGCAGAUAAAUCAAUAUAUAUAUAAUUGACAAAUAUAUAUAGUGCACUAUCAAUGCAACCAAUCAUUUAACAAGCAUUUCUAAGAUUAGGGUUUAUCAAUCAUCCUUAAGCUGUCUCCACAAAUAACAAACAUAUCACUAGGCUUAUGCUCGAAGCCAUUCAAAGUUAUUCUCUACGGCACACUCAAAUUGUCGAAGUAUCAUAUCAGAUUCGAAUCAAACAUAUCUAAGCUUAUCUAAGGCUACGUCACACCAUUCAUGGUUCAAAUUAUAAUCCUUGAGUGGUACUCCCCUAGACACAUCCAGUGGCCAACCAAUGGAGUCAAAUCACGCUCAGGGCUAAGCCAGUGGAGGAGAAUCAAAUCACGUGCGUGUCAAAGCAAUGGUAAAGAAUUAGAGUCAUCGUCUGGAGUAAUCUCCCAACAGCAGCAUCACCUAGAGCAUUCUCAAACAAGUGGCAUCAAAGCACUACAGUCGGGAAUCACAAAUGGGACUAAUACAACCAUCCCUACUCACCACCAUCCUUGCAGGCACAUAACAAAGUCACGAGGAAUAGGAUUACACUCAACCUUAAAUCAAAUCAAUGUUCGGAAUUCAUCUAUAAGACGGAAUACAUAUCCACAAAUGAGGCCAUCAUGCCUUUGUCAUUCCAUUUGUCCACAUCAAAUGAUAAAUCACAUUUAACAAGCUUCAAAUCAUCCAUAACCUCAAUAUGGUUUUGAGUGCCCCUAAGUCUCUAAGGCAUCAACUGCUUAAAUACUCUAAAGAUCAUUCGUCUAAGAUAAUAUACUCUUAGAUGUUCAUCAUAUCCUCUAGACUCCCUAGUCUAGGCUCAAGUAACAUAGGCCACUAGCUAGCUUGCACUAAGGUACCAACACAGCACAUAGCCACGUACAUUUUUGUUCUCUAGCCUAGGCACAUUCUUAUAGGCAAUUAUAUAUGUUUUUAAAGUAGGAAAAUUCUCUCAAGGCAUAGCUACCCUGUUAUAGUUUUAUUAAUAACAUAAAAUAAAAGGUACAAGUAGAUAGAGGCAUAAAACUGUUCUUCUGAAUUUACAUGAGUUAAAGGAAAAAAAAACCUCAUAAAGGUAUCACUUUAUGCUCCAUAUUUUUCAUGAAUGUAGCAAUAAAAUAAUAGCCUUUUGAUACAUAUUACUAAGAGCAUGAAAAAUAAAUUAGGAGUACUACUCCUUUACAUUUAUUUAAUCUAACAUAUUCUAUCUAAAUACAGAAUGCCACGUAACACACCUUCUGCUUGUGAGAAAACUUGAAGAUUUUGGUGUGAAUAUCUCAAGUUGGACAAAAAGUUUGCAACCUGAUUACCUUCUCUAUAUAUAUGUGUCAAACCUUGUUCUAUAAAAUAAUUACGACGUCAUUUACAUGCUCAAUAGAAUGGUUACAUAUUUAGAACGUUUGAGAAAUUGUUAAAAGACGAUAUUGCCCCUAAUGGUAUCAUUAAGUCGAUUAAGCCUUGAACUAGUUCAAAUAGGAAUUUUAAGGUGAAAUUAAGAGUUUCACAAUUCAGGGAUGACUCAAAAUGGUAAUUCGGAGUUCGAGGAUCAAUUUGGAGUCAAACCGGAAUUUUCACUAUCUAAGGGCAAAAUGGUCAUUUGCCACUUGGGGACAAAAUGGGAAUUUUUAGAAAAGAUUUUUUUAGUCCAUUUGACUUAUUGGAGUAUGAUUUAAGUAUUGGAGUAUGAUUUGAAGUUUAGAAGUAAAAAAUUUUAAUUUCGGUAUAAUUUGGAGUAUAAGGGUGAAAUGGUAAUUUUGCCACCCCGGGGGCAAAUCGGUAAAUUUUUACCCUCGACACUUGUCAAGACCAAGGGAUUUUAUUCAUCAUGGAAAUGGAUAAACAUGAGAAAUGUGUGGUGGAGAAUUAAAGAAUUAAAAGUCAAAUAUUUAAAAUUUGAGCCAAUAAGGAAAUGCCAUGUGUCAUGUUUUUAUUAUUUUAUUAUUUCUUUAUAAAAAGGUAAAAAAUCAGCCCAUUUCUCCCAUAGUGAUCAGCCAAACCAGAAGAGAAGAGAAACCAAGGAAGAACAAACCCUAGGUGGGAAAAAUCAAAGAGAAAGUGUUGGAAUUCAAGGAUUUGAUCAAGCAAAGGUAAAAUUUCUUUGAUUUUGCUAGUGAUUUACCUUACCCAUGCAUUUUUCCUUAAUUUCCAUGGUUAAAUUACAUGUUUUCAUGAUGAAAUUAUGGCUGGUCAAAAUGGGUAUGGAGAGAGAAAGAUGUUGGAAUUGUUUGAUUUUGAGUUAUGUUGGUGUUUAGAGUUAGUUAAACAUGUUUAGAAACAAAACAACAAGAAAAGAAUCCAUUUUCCCCAUGAACCUUCAAUGGCCGAAAGUUCCAAGAAGAAAAGUGAAGAUAAAUUUGCCUAAUUGUGUGUUAAUUAGUUGUGCUUGGUGAAUUGAGGGAUUGGAAAAGAAAUGGAGAAAGUUGGAGUGAAAUUGGACGCAUUGGCCAAUUUAUUGGAUGAAAAAUCGACUUAGGUCAAUACCGGGUCUAGAUGGCUACCUGUGCAUUUUUCAUUUCAUAUCAUGCAUAUAUAUCGAGCCUGAAAUAGCUUAUGACUGUUAGACACAAUUUAAUUGAAAUAUGUGCCAUGGAUUAUGGCUAGGUGGUGAGCCAUUAGAUACGGGUAAAGGACUGUACCCGCGGACUGAAAAUAGGAGUAUAUCGACUCCUAGAACUGUGAGUAAACUUACUAUCGUCUUAAUUAUCUAGAGUAGAUUUAUUUAAUUGUGUGAUUUUAUGGAAAAAUGGUUUAAUUGGAAAAUUAUUGUGUUUUAUGGGAAAAUGAGAUUUUAUAAAAUAAUUUUAUAAAAUUUUUGAAAAUUUAAUAAUGAUUUCAAAAAUAGAGUAAUUGGAGACCUAUACUAUGAUUGUGUUGUUUAUCUAUGAUUUUACAUUAAAUGGUUUAUGAUAAAUGUGGGUAUGACUGGUUAUAUUUAUGAUUUGAAGAAUAUGUGAACUGCUUUGAUUUGCCUUGAAUGUGUUAAGUAAGCCAUGUCAUACUAUUGUGAUUUUAUUGGUUGGUGGAUUAUAAAAUGGGCACUGCAGUGACGGGGGUUCCGUGGGCCACCCUAAUUAGAGGGGCACGGUUCUCAAUUAUUGAGCUUGCCUCGAUUGGAGAGGCACGUAGAAUAACUCCCGAGGUAGGAUUUGUGGGCACUCAGUGACGGGGGUUCCGUGGGCCAGCCUAAUUAGAGGGGCACGGUUCCCAAUUAUUGAGCUUACCUCGAUUGGAGAGGCGCGUAGGAUAACUCCCGAGGUAGGAUUUGAGUACACUUCACGUUGGCCACCACGUGAAACUGGGACUCAGCCAACGCCGAGGAACGGCUGUGUUGUCAGAGGUGAAAUGUGUUGUGUGUGUGACAAUAACCAGCCUUGGCGGUCUCGGUAAGAUGCCUUCGCGGGGUAUCCCCGAGAAUAGAUUUUUGGCAAGGGUCAAGUUUUUGAAAAGUGCAUAAGCCAUGUUGAGUAAUUGGAUGAAAUCCAAUUAUUUAUAUGGGUUGGGAUGAAUUAUUUUAAUUGUCUCCUAUUACUCGGUUUUAGAUUAUUUUGAUGAUGUCUGUCUACUCACUGGGAUUUUAUAAUCUCACCCCUUCUUUCUAUACAUUUUUCAAGCUCAGGACAAUUUGUUAAUAGUUGAUUAAGACGAAAAUUAAUCUCGAAGUUGCGUCUUAGAAAGUAAGGGUUCGUAGCCCUACAUCUUCUUAGUCAGUUGAGGGCCCAUGUGUCACUGUAAAAGAAAUUUUAUUCUUCAGUUAUUUAAUUUAAAAUAUGUAUGAAUAUAUUUAGCUUUUACACCAUGUUUUUGACGAGUUUCGGUAUUUUCAAAGAAAAAUGACGAAAAUGCCCCUGUGAGACAAAAAGUAAUAUUUUAUUGUUUUGAUUUGGAAAUGACUUAUGAAUUUUUUUUUGAAAUGUGAGAUUUAAUAACUGUCGCUCACUGGAGAGAUGCAAAAGCUGAUGCUAAGCCUUACGGGGUUUCGAUCGGCAUUCGGGGUAAUGAGUGCCUAUCGAGACGUCACGGCUGUUGUCACGGGCUCGAUGGGAGUUCCGGGUCGUGACAAUAUGAGAAAUUCUAUAACAAAUGUUUUAUAAACAUUUUUUUAUCGACUCCAAUAAAUAUCGAAUCUCAUGGGACCUUUUACUACCAUCCCGAAUCAUCUAAAUUGCAACCUUAGCAUCCAUUUCAAUCCAAACUUUUAACAUAUUAUAAUCUUGGCAUAAAAGUAAACCUCUGUGUAAUGCCAUUAAUUUCGCCUUAAAUGAAUUAGUUGGACCAAAAUUUUCAGAAAAUCCAAAAUAAGCAUAACUAUGUGAUCACAUUAUAUGCCCCCUCUUGUAGCAUUUUGAAAAUUAUUUUUUGAGCUACCAUCAACAUUAAACUUUAAUUCACCUGUCAAUGGCUUGAUCUAAUUAAUAAUUUUAGGUAGUAUAUUUUGAUGGUUUGGAAAAUCAAAGCCCCAUGUUGCUGCAAUUUGAGUGUCUCCUUUCCACUGCCAAUUUUUCAGAUGAUUUCCUAGAAAAAGCUACCUCAAUAAUUUUAUGAUAUGCGAAAUCACUCCAUCAGGUAACAUACAUAAGUUCUUGUGCUUGGCAUUAUUUUGUUCAAACCACAAGAACCAAUAAAUAAAUAAUGGCACUAAAACAUGAAUAUGACCUUGUUUGGUGUAAUCUCCUGAAUAAUACCAUGCCAAGAUAACAUGCAAAACAUUCUAAGGAUUAACAACAUAGAUUUGAAAGAAUUUUACAAAAUAACUCCAAACUUGCUUUUCCACUGGACUAUCCCACAUAACGUGCAUUAGUGAUUCCUUAGAAUUGCAACAUAGACAUUUCGAUGCUAAUUGAAUACCUUUAGUUUUCAUUCAUAACUCCACCGAUAUCCAAUUAUUUAUUAUCCGCCACAAAAAGAAAGAGAUAGAAAGUGGUAUACUUUUAUGCUAGAUCAACUUACAUAAUUGACUGCUAGGUUGCGAGUGUCGAAUUUCUUCCCAUGCACCUUUAGUGGUAAACUCUCCAUUUGAUGUAGGUACCCAAUAAGCAACAUCCUGCUUGGAGCUAUCGAAAGGAAUUCAUAAAAUAUCACUAAUCACAAACUCCAGCAAAACAACUCUCAGUUUAUCUACAUCCUAAUUAUUAUUGUUAUAAAAAUAACAACCUUGUGUCAUGGAAUGAAUAAAAAAAGGGAGAAAUGUUACCAAAGGUUGUUCACCUAUCCAACAGUCAUGCCAGAAGAGUAAUUCUCCCUAACCAAUUCGCCACCGUGUGUUUUGCUCUGUUAUAAUGUUAGCUCCUAACAUCUGUUUCCAAACUUGGAAUCAUGGGCUUUAGCAGUGAUAUUAAUUAGGAAACGACCAGCACAAUAUUUUGCUCUCAUAAAUUUUGUUUAAAGGUGUUACAAGUUUUAAAUCUCCACCAUAGCUUCACUGUGAAAGCCUCAAAAACAUCCUUCAAGCUUCUAAUCUCUAAACCCCCUUCUGAGCAAGGCAAUCCAAUUUUAUUCUAGGCUACCCAAUGAAUCUUUUUGCACUCUAUCAAACCACCCCAUAAAAAAUUAUUAAAUAGUCUCUCAAUUUCUCAAUAACACUAAUCGGAGGCUAGAGAACUUGGAGUAAAUAAAUCGAUAGUGAAGAUAAACACUUCUGAGUAAAGUGAUUCUACCACCUAGCAUCAACACCUUGUUUUCCCCAUCCCGAAAUACAAUCACGGAUUUUAGAAAAAAGCAAAACAAACAAGAGUCCAUUUUUGGGACCUUUGUAUAGUGGUGCCCCUAAGUAAAUUAUAAAUAAACAUUAAUGGGAAAAUCCAGUGGCUUGAGACAUAAUUUAUCUUCUCGAAUUGGCAACAUUAUUAACUGUGAUAAAACAGUUUUUUUGAUGAUUCACGCGCUGUCCAGAAAUCUGUUCAUACUCUUGUAAAAAAGAAAGAAUUCUUUGCAAAGCAGAUCGGCUUUCGUUAGUAAAAAUCAUAACAUCAUCAGCAAAUGCAAGAUGAUUGAUAUUUAAAGGACGACCAGAGUGAUAGUGUAACUAUCCAUAAUUAGCAAAAAGAUUAUUAAAACCUAUAGCUAAGUAUUACGCUGCCAAGAUAAAUAAUAGAGGUGAAAUAGAACCCCCAGUCACAAUCCCCUCUCCGAUUUGAAGUAGCCAACCGAAUUGCCAUUGAUGAAUAAGGAAAACCAACAAUUAGAAAUACACUUCUUCAUCAUGUCAAUCCAGUGGUUAUUAAAACCAAAAUUUUCCAACAUCAAGUACAAAAAACCCUAAUUCAACCGAUCAUAAGCUUUCAUCGUAUCGAGUUUUGGAACCACAUUACCUUUUUUAACUUUGUAGCCAAUUUUUCCAAUCAACUCCUGAGCGAAUAAGCUAUUGUCACUAAUUAAUCUACCACUAACAAAGCCAUUUUGGUUAUCCGAGAUAAGUGUUGGUAAAACUUUAGCUAAUCGAUUCGCCAAUAAUUUAGUUACUAUCUUAUUUAAAACAAUGCACAAACUAAUUAGACGAAAGUAGCUCUAUUGUACUGCAGUGUUAGUACCAUGCCAGCGCCUUUAUCAAGGCAUUAUGCAUAACAAGCAUUUUAAAUUAACUUAAUCAUAAUGACAAAUCGGAGGCGCUCCCAUCGCCAAGCUCAACUUCAGCCUCCAAUCAUCCUUUAGCUCACCAAAGAGUCAAAUAGCUCAAUUUUCCUCUUAAAACACAUCAAACAUCAAAAUAUUAAUUAUUUCUUAGCUUUUGAAAAUAUCCAACUUUUCCAAAAAUAACUAAAUUCUUAGCAAUCCAACAUACAAGCUUAAAUCCUUUAAUAAUAAGCUAAACCCAUACCUUAGAAGUUGGAUUGCACAAAUCUAAUCUCCAAAUUCCAACAAAUCAUGGGGGAUUCCACUAAAGCUAGAAAAAUCAAAUUUCUUUAUUAUUAACCGAUUAAAUUGAAAAUCAAUUGAUAAAAACAUUUAAUCUUACCUCUAGAGGUGUUCUUAAGCUCCAGUUCUCUCCAAAUGGCUUUAAAAUUCCAUUUGGAGCUUAGGGCUUUGGAGUGGUAGAGAGAGAAAAGGGUUUAGGUUUUUUUUUAAAAUGGAUAGGUAGCUUAAGACCCCUUUUUAUUUUUCUCUAUCCCUAGUGAUGUAUCGAUUCAUUUUCAUAAGUUUCGACGAAAUCUAUCAAUACAUUAGGACAAUGUAUCGAUAAAUUUCCAAGUAAAAUGGUCACUGCCCUAGAUGCAUUGAUACAUGAAGGAAUCUAUCGAUACUUUGCCCUUUUGGUUGUCCUUUGCUUCAAAUCUAUUGAUACAUUUGGACAAUAUAUCGGUAAAUGUUCAUCUUUGUUCAAAUUUAUCAAUACAUUUUUUAAUGUAUUGAUAAAAAAAUCCCCUAUACGCCUUACAUUGUUCAUCUUACCAAGAAUGUAUCGAUACAUUGGGGAAUGUAUCGAUUCAUUUUCCCCUGUAGGUAAAUUUUCAGCCAUCCAAACUUCCAAAAAUCCAAAUCUAACACUCCAAAUCAUUAUCCUGCUUAAUUCACACUUCAAUUGAUACAUAUAACUAGAAUCCAUACACCUAUAUCCUCAAAUAUCACAUAAAUCUUAAAUCAAUACUCCAAACAAUAGGAGUUAUCACAUAUUUCCAUGAAAAUUUGCCUAAGCAUCAUAUAUUUCACAAAUCAUUCUCAAUUGACUUAGUUCAUAUCAAAAAUCUUCACCCAUAUAUAGCCUCAUACGGAGCCAAACCAAUCAUGGCUUGGUAGUUAUUGUUAUAAGCGAACUCAGCCAAAAGUAAAUAAUGAUUACAUAAAACUCCAAACUCAAGCACAAUUGCCCUCGGCAUAUCCUCGAGCAUUUAAAUGGUGCACUCAGAUUGGUCAUCUGUUUGAAUGAAAAGCCCUACUAAAAUUCAAUCUUGUGCCUAAGGCCUCCUACAAUUUCCUCCAAAAUUGACUAGUAAAUUGUAGUCCUCUAUCGGACAUUAUCGUUACCAAAACACCAUGUAGCCUCAUAAUCUCAUUAAUAUAAAUUUAAGCAUACCGAGCUGCUCCAUACUUAGUCUUGAUCAGUAAAAAGGGAGUUGACUUAAUUAGUCGAUAAAUUAUUACACAAAUGGCAUCAUAACUACCCCUAGGUCAUGCUAAAUCCGUCACAAAGUCCAUUGCUACAUGUUCCCACUUUCACUCAGGUAUUAGUAACGGUUGCAGCAGUCCCAAAGGUCUCUGAUGUUCAACCUUCACUUGCUAACAUUUCAAAUACUUAGAGACAUACUCAAUCACAUCUCUCUUUAAUCCUGGCCACCAGUAAAAAGACUUCAAAUCAUGAUACAUGUUGGUGGUUCUUAGGUAUAUCAUGUAAGUUGCCACAUGAGCCUCUUUCAAAAUCUCAUUUCUCAUAUCAUCCACAUUUGGCACAUAAACUUGUGAUCGGUACCUCAUUAAACCAUCGAUGUCGUAAACAAAGUCUCGAGCUCUAACUUCGCUCAUGUCUCCAACAAGUUUCACCAAAUAUUCAUCCACGUCCUAGGUGUCCUUAAUCAGAACUAAUAUCAGCGAUCAAACUCUAAAAUGUGCCAUCAAGGCGUUGGAAUUAUUGAUCUCAAAAUGUACUCCAAUAUUGCCCAGAUCAUAUAAACUCUACACUAAUGAUCAUUUCUCAACUAUUACAUGUGCUAAAUUGUCCACUGACUUUCGGCUUAGGGCAUCUGCCAUAACAUUUGCUUUACUCGAAUUGUAACAUAUGGUGUAGUCAUAAUCCUUCAACAACUCUACCCACCUACGCUGUCUCAAAUUCAAAUCCUUUUGUUAAAAUAUAUGCUUCAAACUCUUAUGAUCCGUAUAUAUUUCGCAAGUUUCACCAUAGAGAUAAUGGCACCAUAUUUUCAAAGCAAAUACAAUUGCAGCCAUCUCUAGGUCAUGCGUAAGGUAGUUCUGUUUAUGCCUCUCUAAUUGUUGGGAGUUGUAUGCUAUGAUUUUUCCAUCUUGUAUCAACACGCAACUCAAUCCAACCCGUGAUGCAUUGUAAUACACGAUAUAGCCUCAAAAUCCACACUAUAUGCUUAACACAGGCAUAGAAAUGAAGAAAGCUUUAAGCCUCUGAAAACUAGCUUUACAUGCAUCAAACCAAUCAAAUUUAACUCUUUACUGAGUCAAUCUUAUCAAAAGGGAUGCAAUCUUAGAAACGUCUUACACAAACUGUCUGUACUACUCAUCUAGACCCAAAAAACUUCUAAUUUCCAUUACAAACGUUGGCCUUGGCCAAUUCUCCAUAGCUUCUACCCUGCUAGGAUCGACUUGUACCCCUUGUGUAGACACAACAUGCCCCAAGAAACUAACUUUAUUUAACCAAAAUUCGCAUUUCAAAAAUUUAGCAUAUAAUUUAUGCUCUUUAAGCAGAUAAAGCGUAAUUCUUAAGGGUUGUGCAUGCUCUUCCAAGCUCUUAGAACAUACCAAGAUGUUAUUUAAGAAUACAACCACAAACUUAUCAAAACACACCAAAAAGACCUCGUUCAUUAAGUCCAUAAAUGCUACAACUGCAUUGAUGAGUCCAAACGACAUCACCAAAAAUUCGUAAUGUUUGUAAUGUGUGCAAAACAUUGUCUUGUGUAUAUCAAUUUCUCGAAUUCUCAAUUGGUGAUACCCCGAACAUAGGUCAAUCUUUAAAAACCACAUUGCACCCUGCAACUGGUCAAACAAGUCAUCAAUUCUUGAGAGCAGAUAUUUAUUUUUUAUGGUCACAUUAUUUAGUUACAAUAGUCGAUGCACAACCGAAGGCUAACAUCUUUCUUUUUCUCAAAUAGCACCAGAACUGCCUAAGGUAAAACACUCGAGUGAAUAAAGCCCUUGUUCCACAAAUCCUAUAAUCGUUCCUUAAGCUCUAUUAAUUCAGCUCAUGCCAUUUGAUAAAGAGGUAUAGAAAUUGGCUUCGUAUCUAGAAUCAAAUCAAUACAAAAUCCAAUCUCCCUUUCAAAAGGCAAUCUAGGUAGUUCAUCUGAAAAUACAUCCAAAUACUCACCCACUAUUGGUACAUAAUCCACACUCUUUUCAUUCAUUAAAACAUUUAUUGUCGUCACUAAAUAUCCUUGGCCUUUUGCCUUAGCAUUUGUCUAGCGGUUAUAUUCGAUGGAAUUCCUACAGACAUUGGAGUGCCAUGUCCAUAAAUCACAAAUGAAGGUUCCCUUGGAAACUUAAACUUCACAAGCUUAUAGUGGAAAUCCACUUUAGCAAAGCAUGACCCAAAAUCAAAUCAAAGUCUAAAGUUAGCAACAAUACCAAGUCUACUAACUUGUCCUUAUCCUUAAUGCGAACCACGCAGGACAUAUACACAUACUCUGCCAUAAAUAUCUUCUUUAAAAGAGUAGUCACAAUCAAUGGUUUCUCCAUAUUGCUACAAAAUCAAUCCAAUUUCAACAUAAAGUGUGGGGACAUAAAAGAAAGUGUCGAUCCAGGAUCAAAUGAUACUAAGCUUUGGUACCACAAAUAGGAAGUAUACUUGUGAUCACUCUAUUGGAAGUCUAAGCAUCUUACAAUGUUUGAGCAAACACCCACGUUUAACCGUCACUUUCAUUACUCAACAGUGUUGGUUUACCUCGAAAUGAUAAGGCUAUUCCUUUACCCUUAUCACCUUUAGCAUUUCUCCUAGUUAGUGACAUGCUAGGCGAGGUAGUUGCCACUUGUCUUACAUAUCCAUAAUCAACUUUUGUUGACUAUCUCUGCAUUGGGCAAUCUCUCAUCAAAUAUGUAGCUUGGUCACAUCGAAAGCAUAACCCAGCUGCUUUAUGGCAUGGUCCACCAUGUUACAUAAAUCUUUCCACAAUAGUUACACAAAACACCCCUUUACCUAUGGCCCAAAUUAAAUGCUCUGCUAGGCUACUCUCAACUAGAAGGUAAGCUAAAAGAAUCACUAUUCCUUGGUGGGCUACACGUAGGAGUGGUUCCUUCACGACUUUGAUUACAUAUCAAUGUUGGGCUCCUAGUCACCCUAAAAUCUCUAUGGUUUUGUUGGCAUUGUGUUCGAGCUUUUCAACCCCUACAUCUUUUCAUUCUGGAUUCCAAUUUCAUGGUUUCAAUCAUUCUAGCCACAUCCACCACUACCACAUAAGAAACGAAUCUCUAGGUGGCAAGAACUCUAAAUAAUGGCUCAAUUAGUCUCUUGAUAAAUCUUUUGAUCCUUUUUUGCUCAGUUUGGACCAAGUUAGAAGCAUAUAUAAAGAGUUUAGUAAAAUGGACAUUGUACUCCAUCACUGUCAUGUCCUGGGUCUGAACCAAUGUCUCAAACUCAUGUGCCUUAGUGUCUCUCAUGCUAUCAGGAAAAAAGUAAUUGAGAAAAUCUUGGAUAAAUUCUUCCUAUGUUAUCGGGGCUAACCUUGAUGGUUUACUUUUUUUUAAGGAGAUAAACCACAUUCUGGCAACAUCUUUUAAUCUAAAUCCCACCAAUUUCACUGAUUAAUGUGUGGAGCAUCCCAAAACAAAACAAAUACACUCCAUAUCUUCCAAAAAUCUCUAUGGAUCCUCAUCCAUAUCUGAACCAGUAAAUGACGAGAGCUUUAACUUCAUAAAAUCUACCAAAGCAACCUUGAUAGCCCCUCUUUGAUGUUCACACUGAAGCACAUAGUCCGGAUCUUAGGAACUAGAAUCAACCAAUUCCUCAGACUACGCUUGUCUUCUAUUGUGAAACUCUACAAAUUCGUUAGCCAAACUUUGCAACCUAGUUACCAAAUCCUCUAGGUGACACCUUCUCUUGUCAGGUAGUCAUCCCAACCUCCCACAUUCUCAUCACCCGUGUAUAUGAAACUAGGUUUCGCAUUUCGAGCCCAUCUAGCUACUCUACUUCUACCACAACUCUUUAAUGUGGACACUAUGGUUGUUUCAUAAGCUCAUCCUAGGCAUCUUACUUUCCCAUAACCCUUAAGGCAACUCUUGUAUUAGGCGACAUCUUGUACCAAAACGAAGCAAUACCAUGUUCAAAAUUUCAAAAUUCAUGAUCCAAAGGGUUAACUUAUUAAGACUUUGGAGUUCAUGCAACCUUCUGCUCAUAAUUCGUGUUGCAGUCAUGAACCAUGAACAAAACUCUACACCAAUCCCGACAAUCCGCUGACAGACUCUAAAUGACUUAGGACACCUUAAACUUAGAUGCACACGAACCCAACAGGCAAAGCUCGCAGGACCCAAGCAAGUCUCAAAACUUUGAAUCACAUAACACAUCUGAGGGAUUUCAUAACCAGAUAUUCAUAAAUAAAAUUUGAAUUCAAAUAUAGUACAUUUUCCCUUACGCAUAUUCAUACAUAAUAUUCCUAACGCCAUACAUUAGCUAUCAAAAUGGGCUUAUACUUAAUAACCCUUAAUACAAGUUUAAAUGGCACAUCGUCCCUACAUACACAACUAAACUAAAUACAGAGUGAAAGCUCAUGACAGACUCAAUGGCGUAGACGUAUUAGAUAUGGACUUAUCGGAUGCCAAAAUUGGUCUGUCACUAGACGACCUUUGCCAUGCAAUCUUGUGGCCUAUUUAUCUACACAUGGUACAACAAAUGGGUGAGUCAUCUAAUACUCAAAGAGAGGUGCAAAUAAAUCAAUAUAUAUAUAGUGUAAUAUCAGUGCAACCAAUUAUUUAACAAGCAUCUCCAAUAUUAAGGCAUAUCAAUCAUCCUUAAGCUGUCUCCACAAAUAACACACAUAUCAUUAGGCUUAUGCUCAAAGCCAUUCAAAGUUAUUCUCCGCGGCACACUUAAAUCACUGAAGUAUCAUAUCAAAUUUGAAUCAAACUUAUCUAAGCUUAUGUGAGGCUAUGUCACAUCAUUCAUGGUUCAAAUCAUAAUCCUUGAGUGGUCCUCUUCUGAACAACAUCAAAUCAUGCAUGAUGGCUGAUAACUCUCUGAUAUAAAGUUAUUUGGACUUAAUUUUGAUUGUAAUUUAGCUUAGUUCUUGUAGUAAUGCAUAGAAAUUAAUAAGUUUUAUUUAAAUUAUUUUAGGUUAGUUAAUUUAGGUGAGUCAAUCUAAUUUUAGUUAAUUUUAUGAUUAAUUUGGUGUUAAUGUGAUUAAGAUAAGCUAUUAGUGAUUUAUUUGUGCUUUUGUAGGUUUAAUGAAGGAAGAAUUUUAAUGGAAGAAGGAGAGCAAUUUCAAUGUGUAGACUUUCACUGCAUAAGUUUUCGUAUUUCAAUCAUAACUCUCUCUACAGAACUCCAAAUAAGAUGAUUCUUAAACCAUUGAAAAGAUAAGACAAAAAUUUACAACUUUCAUGUUUACUACUUUUCCCAAUUCGCCUGGAAGGUGGUCAAAAAUUAUGUCGAAGAUGAAGCACUGCAACAAUCCUAGUGCAAUUACAAUUUAUACUAAUUAAUUGGUCAAGGUCGUGGCCCAUGUAGUCAGAUGAGGAAAUCCUAAUUGGAAUUGACUUCUUUCUUCACCCAACUUGGCUUAACUUCAAAACCCUAUAAAAACAACCUUUCAAAGGACUUUUAGGAUAUAACGAAACACCGGAUUGAAAACUAAGAAUCAAACCGUAAAGUCACUAAAGAUGAGAAGAAUUUAAAGGAUUCAAGGAGAUUUGGAGAUCAAGAUUACAAUUCUUGGUUUUUUCUAUCUUUUUGUUAUUCUUUUAUUUUCUCGAUUUUGUUUUUAAUGUUUAAACCUUAUAUGAUGAUGAUGUGUGCCUUGAUGGGGAACUAAUUCAUUUAUCUAAGAUUAUAAUUGAAUUCAAUACGUAGUCUGAUUUAUUUAUCUGUCUUUUGCUUAUGUUUUAUGGAUUUAAGUUGUUUAUUUUAUUCUGUUUUUAAUGCUUCUAGUUGAUUGGCCACCAAUUAGAUAGAAUUAGAAACCUAAGUUAAACCUUGACAAAGGAGAUUUAGGUAGAUCUUGAAUGAAAUAGUAUAUGAUCAAAUACACUUAAUUGAUUGGGUGAUUUGAUUUGCAUUUAGGGUAGACAUACACCUAUAAGCCAUACGUAGCUAAAAUUAGAGCACGAACUUAAUGAAUUUGUCUUUAAUGUAAGUUGCAUAGACAUAUAGUAAAUUAAUUGGGAGAGAUAUUUUUAUGAGAAACUCGACAUAGACUUGUAAAUAAUUUAAGAUUUUAGGUUAGUUACUUAAUCCAUUAAACUAAGUUAAGAAAGAGAGAUAAUAUUUAUAUGAAGUAUUGAGAGACAUCAUAACCUUAGGUUUAAAAGUCAAUCAAAUUUAAUAAAAUAAUUUUGUUAGUUAAUUUAGAUUAGUUUUAGUUUUUAAUUUUUUUUAAUUUAAUUUUUAAUUUUUUGGAUAAAAUUACGAUGUUAUAAUUUUGUAGUUAACAAUAGGAAUUAAAACAAUUCUUUGUGGGAACAAUACUAUACUUUAUCAUUAUAUUACUUGUUAAUGAUACGUGCACUUGCGUGAGAAAUCAACGACAAGGUGGCCAACUGGCGGAGUCAAAUUACACUUAGGGCAAAGCCACUAGUAAAGAAUCAAAUCACGAGCGUGCCGAAGCAACAAGCGAAGAAUCAACGUCAUCAUCCGAAGUAAUCUCCUAACAGAGGUGUGAUACCCAACAUCCCACAUCUGAUGUAAAUGUGAUUGUUAAGACCUAUAUAACAAUCCAAGCCCACCACUACUAGCAACUUGAGCUUAAGUUUUUGAGGGCCACGUAAUUUAGGCCCAAAAAGUUGUUGGGCUAGUGGUUGGGUUUGGGUCGUUACAAAUGGUAUCAGAGCCUGCGCCAGUCUGAUGUGAGCUUUCACAUUGCUCUGGUGAGAUCUUGGUCCUGUGGAUGUGAUGUAUGGCCUUGAUGAGGACAUCAAGGAUUUGAGUGGGUGGGAUUGUGAUACCCAACAUCUCACAUCUGAUGUGAAUGUGAUUGUUAAUACCUAUAUAACAAUUCAAGCCCACCACUACUAGCAACUUGAGCUUAAGCUUUUGAGGGUCACGUGAUUUAGACCCAAAAAGUUGUUGGGCCAGUGGUUGGGCUUGGGUCGUUACAAGAGGACAUCACCCAGUGUAUUCUCAAAUGGGUGGCAUCAAAGCACUGCAAGUGAGAAUCACAAACAAGACUAAUAUUGCCAUCCUUAUAGGAACAUAACAAAGUCACAAGGAAUAAGACUAUACUCAUACUCAACCUCAAAUCAAAUCAACAUCCUCAAUUCAUCCAUUGGAUGAAAUACAUAUCCACCAACGAGGCUAUCAUGCCUUCAUCAUUCUAUUUGUACACAUCAAAUCAUAAAUCACAUUUAACGAGUUUAAAAUUGUUUAUAAGCUCUAUAUGGUUCUGAGUCCCUCUAAGUCUCUAAGGCAUCAACUACUCAAAUUCUCUAAAGAUCAUUCGUCCAAGAUAAUCUAUUCCUAGAUGUUCAUCAUAUCCUUUAGACUCUCUAGUCCAGGCUCACACAACAUAAGUCACUAGGUGGCUUGCACUAAGGCACCAACGCAGCACAUAGUCACAUACAUUUUUGUUCUCUAGCCUAGGCACAUUCGUUUAGGCAAUUAUAUACAUACAUACAUAUAUAUAUAUAUAUAUAUAUAUAUAUAUAUAUAUUAUAUANNNNNNNNNNNNNNNNNNNNNNNNNNNNNNNNNAUAUAUAUAUAUUAUAUAUAUAUAUAUAUAUAUAUAUAUAUAUAUAUAUUUAUAAUCUAGUACCAUAGCAGCACUUUUAAUAAAACAUUAUGCAUCAUAUGCAUUUUAAAUUAACCUACUCACAAUGACAAAUCGAUUGCACUUCCACCAUCAAACUUCAACCUUCAAUCGUCCUUUAGCUCACCAACGAGUCAAAUAGCUCAAUUUCCCUCUUAGAACACAUAAAACAUCAAAAUAUUAAUUAUUUCCUAACUUCCAAAAAUAUCCAGCUUUUCCAAAAAUAACUAAAUUCUUAACAAUCCAACAUACAAGAUCAAAUCCUUUAAUAAUGAGCUAAACCCAUACCUUAGAAGCUGGAUUGCAUAAAUCUAAGCUCUAAAUUCCAGCAAAUCAUGGGGGAUUCCACCAAAGCUAGAAAAAUCAAUUUCUUGAUUAUUAACCGAUUAAAUUGAAAAUCAAUUGGUAAAAACAUUUAAUCUUACCUCUAGAGGUGUUUCCCAAGCUCCAAUCUGCUUCAAAUGGGUCCAAAAAUUGGUUUGGGGCUUAGGGUUUUGGAGUGGUAAAGAGAUAAAGGGGUUAGGUUUUUGUUUAAAAUGGACAAAUAGCUCGAGACUCCUUUUUAUUUUUUCUUGUCCCUAGUUAUGUAUCGAUGCAUUUGGGAAUGUAUCGAUACAUUUUCACAAGUUUCAACCAAAUCUAUCGAUACAUUAGGGCAAUGUAUCGAUAGAUUUCAGGCAGAAUUUCCACUACCUUGGAUGUAUCGAUAUGUGGGGGAAUCUAUCGAUACUUUGCCCACCUAGUUGCUAUUUGUUUCACAUCUGUCAAUAUAUUUGGACAAUACAUCGAUAAAUGUUCAUCUUUGUUCAAAUCCAUAAUACAUUUUUGAAUGUAUCGAUAGAAAAAUCCCCUGCACGCCUUACAUUGUUCACCCUGCCAAGAUUUUAACGAUACAUUUUCCCUUAAAAGCAUAUUUUUAACCUUUCAAACUUCCAAAAAUUCAAAUCAAACACUCCAAGUCAUUACCCUGCUUAAUUCACACUUCAAUUGAUUCAAAUAACUUGAAUCCAUACACCUAUAUCCUUAAACAUCACAUAAAUCUUAAAUCAAGACUUCAAACUAUAGGAUAAAUCACAUAUUUCCAUGAAAAUUUACCUAAGUGUCAAAAUACAUACUCCCAUACAGUUGGCAUAUUUAGCAUAUCAUUUAAGUCCUCAAAGUGCAAUAUAUUUCAUAAAUCAUUCUCAAUUGACUUAGUUCAUAUCGAAAAUCAAGGGUGUUACAUUUAUAAACACUUAACCUAGAGUAGGAACGGUAACAUGAGUUAGGGGUAAUUUCGUUCUCUCUUUGCUGAGUGUUACUAAAUAUUUGGUAAUCAAAUAUUCAAGGUCUAUGCUUCAGAAGACUAUUUUAAAGUCCAUGAAAUAGAUUUGAAGACCAAGUGGUUAAUUACCCCUAGAUAAGACAAAUAAGAUAGUAAAGCAUUCUAGUUAUUUACCCCUAAAUAAUAAAAAAAAAUUAUUUUCCCCUUAAUAACACAAAAGCAUCUUCACUUUUUCAAAGACACAAUAGCCAUGUGUCCUUGAGAAGCUUUGCGCUUUUCUUUUAUUUCUUAAUGGCUAACCAUUACUCUCUAAUGACAUUUUCUCCCUUGUUUCUUUUCUUCAACCCAAGACCACAUUUCCUCCUUCAAGAAAGCCACAAUUUUCUUUCUUUUUCUUGGUCCUUUAAUUUCCUACUUUAAACCUUCAUUCUUCCUUCUUACUCACCAAACCAAUAGCUCCCAACCGCAUUUAUAUCCUUGCUAUUUGAACAUAAAAAAAGAGAAAAUAAAUUUUCUCUUCCUCCUUGUUUUUCUCUACACUACCACUUUCAAAUUUACCAAGAUUGAAAACUUUAAACCCUUCAAUUUUAAGCAAGAAAAGAUGAGAUUUCAGCCUAUAUAAACUCAAAAUUUCAUGGUUUUAUUUUUCAACAAUUAAUCUCUAAUUUUUCAAAUUAUCUUUUUCUUGAACAUAUUAGGUUUUGUUGAGUUUUACACCUCUAAGCUCAUCAAGGUAAGAAAAUCUUAAAUUUGAGUAGUUAGUUUAAUGGGUUUGUGAAUUAGAAUAGAAUUAUAGGUCAAAUGUUAGAUUAGAAUGUAAUUUAGAUAGUAUAUAUUUAUUAGAAUUAUUCAUUUCAAAUUUUUAUGAUAUGUUUGAGGUUAUUAUUAUUUAUUGGUAAUUAUAGGUUUUAUUGGAACUUCAAGACUCAACUUGGACUAAGGUCUUAGUGGUGUUGGUUUUGUAAGGUGGCAUCAAAAGGGUGAGUGGACUUGCAUUCAAACCAUUUUGUUAGAAAAUGCGUGAAAAGUUUUUGAAAUACUGUACCUAUAUAUGUUUUGGGAUGCUUUUAUUAAUAUGUUGAUAAGCACAUAAGUUUAUAUAUGUAUGUAAGAGUAUAUGAAAUACAUGUACAUAUCUAUUAUACGAACUUGCAUGGGAACAAGCAUUUAAAAUGUGUAAAUUGUCAAUGUGAUUAUAUUGUUAGUUUUAUGAGUUAUGAAUUUUAAAUAAAUGUGCUAGACUUUUAAUAUGAUGAUAAUGUUAGUUUUGUAAGUGUUGGUUUUAAAGGAAUGUGCUAAAUUUCCAUGCGUUGAAAAAAAUGAUUGGUUUUAUGUGAGACUCCAAGUGUUGAGGAUUUAAAGAAAUACAAAUGUUUUGAUUUCAAUGGACACAUGUUAGGAAUCCUAGAUAUUGAUGAAUUUACGAAAUGAUGGCUUAUUGUGUUGGUGCUAAAAUGGGUAUUUGGAAUGGUAUAGUGGUGAGGCCAUGAUUUCGUGAUAUUAUACUAUGAACAAAAAGGGUAAAGGAUUUUUUAAUGGUUUAGACAUGAAAAUGUUUUUCAGAUGAGCCCUUAAGUUAAAACCUAAACUAGUGGCAGUCUAUUUUGCAGAAUAAGGGCACCUCAACUAACAGAGGGAACGAAAUGGUGCUAGCCUUAUAGUUGAGAAUGGCACAAGCGAUGUUAUGAGGUAACUAACUAUAAGUAGUGGAUCAUUGUUAUGUAUACACAUGUAAGGGUGAUGAAAUACCAUUAUCACUACACUAAUGUUACUUAUGAAGCUACAUCCAAUGAUAUGUUUUUAAAUGUUGAGUUCAAGAGUUGUAAUGACCAUAUUCAAUUGACAGAUUGAGUUCUAAAAUAUGUUUGCCAAGCUAGUUUAUAUGACCUCCUGAUAUAUGAAAAGUAUUAAAAGUAUAAGCUCUUAUAUGUAGAUUGAAUAUGCCUUCGGGGAAAAUGGCUAAUUGUUUCAAAAUGAUUUGAGAAUUGAGACUGCAUUCAUAGUUUUGGUUCCAAAAACAAAUUGCAUGGUUUUGAAGGAAAAAUGGCAUAGAUUUAUAAAAUAUUUCUCCAUUAAUAUGCUUGUUCCCCUCUAAUGUCCAUCACUGAGUUUUAUGCUCGCCUUUUCAACUUCAUGUUUUGGUUUUCAAAUCCAAAUAUAGCUAAGCAGCAGUUGAGCAAUCCUACGCUUAUCCAUUGUUGUGGUAGGUAUUACUAUGGCAUUUGCUAGGCUCCACCAGCCCCGUGUCACUCACCUAUCGUGUCAUGUUUUAUUUUGUACUUAAUAGGAGUCUAUUAGUGUUGAUAUAGCCACUAAAUGGCAACUUGUCAAAUAUUUAUGAUGGAGAAUGUACAAAGAUAAUGUUAGCACUUAAUGUUAUAAUAUUGAGUUAAGGCACAUUCCCGAUAUGUUACAUGUUAGGAUAUUAAUGAGAUAUAUAAAUAUGAUAAAAUAUUGCUAGAUGAGAUGUGUGUGAACCUAUAUAAUACAGGUAUGACGAUAAGGCUUGUUUGAUCUUAGUGGGCUUUGCCUAUUGGGCCUUUACGCUAGUUACGGCCCGAGAUUGGACCAUGAUAGUUUAAGAAUAAGAAAAAUUUACCAAUGGAGUCGACCCUUUGUUGGUAUUGCCAUAUUAUGUAGAUUUAACGUAAUAAUAUUCUUUAUGGGAUUUUCUUAUGUCACUUUAGAAAAGUUGAUAAUGCAGUUGUAGGAAAACACCAUAGUUGAUUGAUAUCAAGUCUCAUAGUUGACACAAUGUUUAAAAUUUAUUAAUUAAACUUAAAUGCAUUUAAAUAAAAAUGUAAUGAAAAAUUUUUUAAAAGAUUAAACUAAAAAUUAUCACACUAUUUAAAAAUUUUAAAAUAAAAGGGAAAAAACCAAAUUAUUAUAAACCUAAAAUGGUCCAACCAAUUUGAAAAAAAAAAAACAAAGGGCAUAAUACCUAAAUAUGUCAUUAAACUAUUCAAAUAAGUCUUUAUUCUUUUAUUGUAUUCAAUUAAACUCUUAUAUUUUUAUUUUAAACCAAAUAAGUCCUUCAAACUAAUAGUUAAUUAAUUGGUGUUAUUCAAAAUGUUAUUUGUUAUUUUUAUGCCACAUAACAUGCUGACAUAUCACGAUGAAUGAUAACAUGACAUGUUAAUGUAACAUAAUAACAUGAUCAUGUAUCAUUUUUCACCUUUUACGUCAUAAUCAUGUCAACGCCACAUGGAUAUAAAUGGAAAUAUGAUAUUUUGACUAAUAAUAAUUAAUCAAUUGUUAAUCAUAAAAAUCUUUUUGAUUUAAAAUAAAAGUAAAGAGAUUUAAUUAAAUACAAUAAAAGAAUAAAUGUUUAAUUGAUUUUUUUUAAAUAGUUCAGUGACUUUUUAAAACAUUAUGCCAAAAAAGAAAAAAACUUGUCAUAUGUGGAUAGAGUUCCAAUUUUAUAUUAAUUUUUUUACGGCUAUAUACAGUGCACUACUUGAUUAAUUAUAUUAGUGAGAGCUUGUUUUGGAUGACUAGAUUAAUAUAAUGUCUACUUCUAAAUGUACUCAAAAUAAAAGAAAAAAUUGUUGCAAAUAGACACCUUAAUAAUAUGAUUACGAUUUAAUCAUGGUAGUACUUUCGCAGUUGAUUUAAUGUAAAUUCUACUAAAAAAGUAGAGAUCGAAUCCCUUUUCUAAAAAAAAAAAAACUUAAACCAAGAUGUAAUGUUAUAAAUAACAGAAUUUAGAACAAUAACCCUAAAAUGAACCAUCAUGUUUUGUUAAUAAGUAGAACCACUUGAUGUAUAAGCACGUAAUUAUAGCCUAAAUAUGUAAGUAUAAGGGCAAAACUUUAUUUGAAAAACGAAAGGCAAAAACUUAAAUUAGAUAACAUUAAACCUAUCCACGAGUCGAGUUACCUACCAAGCAUUAAGGCUUGGCUCGACUUGUGUUGAGUCUUGAGUAUGAUUUUUUAAGUUUGGUAUCGACUUGAUCUAAUUCGGAAUAUUAGUAUAUUAAUAAAUAAUUAUUUUUAUUUAAUUUUAAUUUUAAAAUAUAUCUUAAAAAUUAAUUUAAAAAUACUUUUAUAUAAUUUAAUAAACAGAUUGAGCUCGAACCCAAGUUUAAGUUUUAAAAGUGUUAAUUGAGUCAAACUCGAUUCAUGAACACCUCUAAUUAAGAUGAAGUUUGUGGAAAGUUUUCUAUUACAAUAUAUUAUAAACUAAAAUUGAAAAUCAAAAAAUAUAUCAAUAAUAUAUAAAGAAUAUUAAAAUAGCAUUCAAGCUAUACAAAAAAAAAAUUAAUAUUGAAAUAGUAUACAAGCUAUACAAAAAAAUUACUCAGUAACUAUUGAAUGUUGAAAAUUUAUCUGAAUUUUUAAAUCAUAAUGCCUAUUUAGACGAAGUAUUUGAACUCAAACUAAAAUUGUUCAAACUUUUGCAUAAUGAUAGAACAAGAUAACAAGCUCCACCAAUUCAUUGGUUUUACUUUUUUUAAUCAUUUUUAAUAGAAAAUUUUACAAACCUCGUGUAGGAAUAAAAUGUAUGUCUAUAUAUUAAUUACUCCCUCCAUCUCUUUUUGUUUUUCUUUUUUCUUAUCACGAAAAUCAAGAAUUCUUUUUAAUUUCUAUAAAAAUUAAGAAAAAAAUGUUGAAUUUAGUAUAUUAUAUAUUAUUAAAAUUUUAAACUUUUUAUAAUAUUUAUAGUUGAUACUUUUCAAUACCAAAAAAUAAAAUAAAAAAAUUAAAUUACAUUUUAAGUUUUCCAAAAAAGAUGCUAUAAUCUUAAGAUAUAUAGUUAAGUUUAAAUCUCUUUUUCCUAAAAAAGAAAAAGAAAAAAUCAUAUCUUAUAAAACAAAAAAAAAGUGUGAUACCCUUCUUAAUAAAUAAAGGUGUUUCUACUAAAAAAACAC
rnacentral:lncRNA from 1 species